rnacentral:lncRNA from 1 species
AAUUUAUGACUCUGAUUUAGUAUUAUAGUUGGUUGAGCUUUUGGAAUUUGGCAAGAUUAGCUACCGCAGUGAAUUCUUCUUCUGUGUUUCAGCCCUUGUUUUCUUCUCUUUUCCUUUUCCUUUUCCUUUUUAAUGUAUUUGUUUUCCCUUUGGUGAGUGGAAGUGAUAUAUGUAGAAGGAGAAAGGUUGUAGUGUAGUGCACCGAAGACAUAUUGCAAUUACCUUUUCAGUCUCUGAGUUGACUUUUAGAUUUGCGCAUUUUUUCUUUGUCCCGUUCGCAUAUAUACAUAUAUAUAUUUUAGCUUUUAAUGUCCUUUGAAGGGAUAAUAUAAUAUGUUAAAGCUUCAGCAUCUUCUUUUGCUUUUUUAUUUUUUUUAUUUUUUUUAUUUUUUUGAGUUUAACUUGUUUGGGGUUUGGGUCAGUCUUUUUCUCAUUGGCAAUAAUGUGUACUGGCCUCUUCUUCCUUCGCUGUUACUACUAUUAAGCGGUACGGUGGUGUUCUUAUGUCUCAUGGCCAUGGCCUGUUGCAAUGUGUUAUGGUAUGGUGGUGUUCUCAGGAAUCAAAUAUGCUAAAGAAAGUACUACUACUGGUACUGUAUCCGUCUUCUAAUUUGCGAAAUCCAAAAUGUGGUGCGUGGUUUUAUGAUUCUUUCAUAUUUGUUUGAAAAAAAAUUGAAAAGUUAGAAAAACAAAAGUGAGGAAAAAUGACUUCUGGCGAGAAAUUAUCAGAUGAUGCUGACACUUUUGUCUAGACGGAUGAAAAAGAAACGAAAGGAAAAGAUUUGGAGAGAGAGAGAUGGAGCUGAAAUUAUUAUUAUUGUCUCCUGUUUGGGAUUUUAAGUCAAACAAACUCAAAAAUGUCUUUUACAUUUCAUUCCCUUCCCUUCCCUUCAUUCUCACAAGUGGGAAAAAAAGUCUAUUGUGUUAACUGGAUUGCAUUUUUUAGAAUUUUUUGUAGAAAAAUUACCGUAGCGAUUUGAUGUAUGUGAAGAAAAAAAGUAAUAGGAAAAUGUGAUCACGGAAAACAACGCAAUUUUUCGGCGAAAAAUGACUGUCCAAACAAGGCUUGCUCGUCAGCAAAACCUGUAAAUAUAAGAGGCCGCUUGGUACAAGGGUAUGGGAAUCAAGAAUUGGAAUCCCCACCAUAUUUGUUGCUUGUUAAAGAGGUAUGGGUAUUAAAAAAUUCAAAUGAAAUCUAAAAAUCUGGUCACUCUCAAUUCCCGACUGGAUUGGGAGGUUUUGGUUGAUUACCAAACCUGACUCCUAAAUGAAAUAUAAAAAUCUAAAAAUAAAUAGGAAUCUUCUCUCCUUCAAAUCUGGUCUCUUCUCAUACUUCUAUCUCCACCACUUUGCAUCUUCACCGGACAUUCUCCUCUCUCUCCCUCACCAUUCCUGUGUAAAAACACACCUUCUUACUUCUCACCCCAAAACCAAAUUUUGCUACUUUUUAUGGUUUAAUAAACCUACAAUGAAGUUCUUUAAAAACCUAACUAUUAGCAAAAUUUCCAUCUAGAAACAGUAGUCGGUGAUGAUGAGAUUUAUGUGUGAUUUUGGCAGUAAAAGAUACCCAGAACCAAAGAAGAUGAUGAAGUUUGUAGUUUAAAUUCAGAUCUAUCUUAGAUUGGAAAAGUUUGGAAAUCUUGAGGCUAAAUAUAAUAAUUGUAAGAGCUCCAAGGUAGCAAUUAAUUGUGAUUCUAUCUUGCAUUCGCCAACGGUGGUGGUUCAAGGAAGAGCUGCUGUCAAUUGGCCGCCAACGUUGGCGGUAUGUGCAACGAGGAAGAAAUAGAAAGAAAAUAUUUUAUCCUGAUACCUAAACCUAAAAUUUUUUACCAAGCAAUAUAUAUUGGAAUGAUGGCAUAGGGCCAUACCCAUACUAAUUAUUUAUAUAUGAUACCAAUUCCAAUUACAAUUGCGGUUCACGAACCAAGCGCCCCCUAAGUAAAUGUGUAAAAGGAGAAGUUUCUCAAUCUAGCAAGCUACUAAUAUUUGAUUCUUGGUUAUUUUCUCAAGAUUCCCAAGAAAGAAAGUUCUAAUCAUUUCUCUUGUCUGCUUUUAUCUAUCUGUGUAUUUUUUUUUCAAUUUAUUUAUUUUGUUUUCGAAGAUUUCCUCUCGUUUGUAUAAUUUUUCUGAUAAAAGUCAAAAUUUAGGGCAUAAUUAAAGAAUUCAAUCGAAUUUUAAAUUACAAGCACACCUUCUCUUCCUCUCCACCUUCACCCAACAAAAGAAAUUCCCGUUUGAAUUGCUAUUUUUAGAUUUCUUUUUUUUCAGAAAAAUAUACUAUAAUAAUUUAAUGUAUUUGAAAUAAAAAUAAUUAAAAAGUAUAAAAAAUUAUUUUACAAAAAAUCACAAUCCAAACACGGACACAAAAUUUUCGAACCUAUGCCAAAUCAUCAGACUAGACGAGUAUAUGUCCACCACGGACGGAAUUAGUACCGGUAGCAUGUAGGUAAUAAAUGGCUGCUGGGGGCUUCCACUCUUCCAACCAAAUGGCAGGAGGAGGAGGAGGAGGAGAAGUAGAAGAAAGAAGCAGCAACCACAGAGGAGCCGGAGCCGGAGCCGGAGCCGGAGGAGGAGGAGAAAGCAGAGUCCCAGAAAUCCGGAAAGACAGCGUACAGAAUCGGUGGGUUAUAUUCUCCCCCGCAAGAUCACGUCGCCCUUCUGACUUCAAGUCCAAAUCUAGUACUAGCAGUGGCAAUCCACCCGACCCACAUUCCCAAAAUUGCCCAUUUUGCCUGGGCAAUGAGCACCUCUGCGCACCCGAGAUCUUCCGGGUCCACCCCUCCCAUUCCGCCCAUUGGAAACUCCGGGUCAUCCAGAAUCUCUACCCUGCUCUCUCCAGGGACAACUUGCCUGUGCAACCAGAGCAGGUUGAUGAUGAAUCAAGCUCCAAAACCUCCUCCUCCUCCUCUAAGAUUGGGAAUAACAAAGUUGCUGGGUUCGGGUUUCACGACGUGGUAAUCGAGGCCCCCUUUCACUCUCUUCAAUUGCUUGAUCUUUCUCCCGCUGAGAUCGGGGAUGUUUUGCUUGCUUAUAAGAAGAGGAUCCUCCAGCUUCGCUCUUACCAUUCCAUUCAAUACGUUCAGGUUUCACUCUCCUCUUUUGCUUCUUCUACUAGUACUCUCUUCUUUCUUGGGCAUAUGUUCUUUACCAGUGUUUCUUGUAACUAGUUCCUUUUUUUUUUAAUACCUUUUGGUUAAGGAUGUGUCAAUCAGUGAAAGGUUGAAAUUUUCUUUGUUUCAUUUUAAUAAGUGAUACUAGUUUAAUCUUUCUUUUUGGAUUUUGAUUUUGUUGCUCUCUGCUUUUGGUAUCAAAUGUAAUCAAGACGUUUUUUUCCCCAUCCCUUUAGGAUUUAUGAAAUGCUAGACUGUAUUUUUUCCCCAAAAUCUAAAAGCAACCUGUUAGUAACUUAAUAUAUCCCCUACCUUGUGUUGGGCUGAAUUGUGGGCUGUUGUUGAUCUGCAUGUGUUCACAAUGACGAAUGAGAUUGAGCUUAUAGAUGAGCUCCAAGCUCAGUAGAAAUAUAAAUUGGAAAAAAAAAAAAAAAUCUUUGUAGCCGCUAAUUGAGUCAGUGUACCAGUUCUAAGACUUUUAGCAACCCUAUGCUGAUAUCCAAGAAGGUUAUCUCACAACCCUGACGAAAUUUUGUAACCGCCUUGCAUUUGCGCAAGUUAUUUCCACAAAUCUUUUUCUUUCAUGUAUGGACUUCAUUUAUUUGCUGGUUUCAUUCUUGAAAUUCCCGGAUGGACCUGAGUUCAAUUUGUAGCGAAGCCCAUAAACAUGCAUAGCUACUGGUUUUGAUCUUUCCCUGGCCUUUUCCAAUUCACCCCCGGGUGUUGAUAGUAGGUCAGGUGAGCACGAAUGAGUUUUCAGUGCUGCAUUUGCUAGUGUUUAAAUCGUUAUCCCACUUCUCAGUGAAUACUUAUGGUAUGGUUCCAGCCAUACACAAAGUCUAUCUGAUUGAUCUUUCCUCUCAUUUGUCUGCUCCUCUUUUGGUGAAUCUCUGUCUGUAGCACGUUUAACUUUUGUUCACAUCGUGAUUUAAUAGGUGUUCAAAAAUCAUGGUGCCUCAGCUGGUGCCUCAUUGAGUCACUCUCAUAGUCAGAUUAUUGCUCUUCCAGUUGUCCCCACAGCAGUUUCUGCUCGUAUUGACUGUAUGAAGCAAUAUUUUGAGCAGACAGGGAAGUGUAACCUCUGUGAGGUUCGAGUGGAUGACUUGCUAAUUGAUGAAUCAGCCCAUUUCAUAUCAAUUGUUCCUUUUGCUGCUACUUUUCCUUUUGAGAUAUGGAUCAUUCCUCGAGACCACUCUUCUCAUUUUCAUGAAGUGGACAAUGAGAAGGUAAUCUUUGCCUUGCUUAAGCCUUCAUUAACAUAACUAUCAGAAAAGCAAAAAGAAAAGGGGGGAGGGGGGAGGGGAAACAGACUGCAAGCAGCUUAACUGAGCAAAUUGACUGUACUUGGUCAAUGUAACUUGGCAUAGUUAUGCUGAGUAUAUAGCUAAAGGCAAGGACUUCUUUAAAUUGGGCUUGCAAACUUCUUAGGUACAUACCUGGGAAAAGUAUAGCUGAUAAAUUCAACUUGGGAAGAAAAGCGGAGGGGGAAUUGUACCUUAAUGUUUGCUAUAUGUAUUUUUUCCUUGUGUGUGCGUGUGUGUGUGUUGAGGGGGUUGUGGGCUUCUUUUGUCUUGUAUAACAUGUCCAAUUUUCACUCUGCACUAGCUAUUGUUUCUCGUUUUCACUUGCAGGCAGUUGAUCUCGGAGGAUUAUUGAAACUCUUGCUAAGGAAGAUCUCCUCGCAGCUGAAUGAUCCACCUUACAAUAUGAUGAUUCACACUACUCCAUUCCACAUAAAUCCCUCAUGUUUAACCUACACGCACUGGUUUCUUCAAAUUGUACCCCAGUUAACAAUAGUAGGAGGGUUUGAAGUAGGAACAGGAUGCCACAUAAAUCCAAUUUUCCCUGAGGAUGCAGCAAAAGUGCUAAGGGAAGUACAACUUUGAAGUUAAUCAUCGGAAGUUUCGAGUAGUAUAUUGGGGAUGCGGAUGCAGCACUUUCACUGAGAAACAAGCAUGUAUAGAGCGUUAACAACAUAAUCUUGCUACUAUUUUUGAGUGCCAUUUGGUGCUCAGAGUUGGUAUGUUAGAGAUGCAUUUGAUUUAGGGUAGGAAAAACAACUCAAUGCCUGAUAAUGCAUGCAGCAUGGUUUUUGCUGCUUUGGAUUUUUUCACUUUGGAGCGAUUUGGAUCUGCUCGUUUUUCUCUACAUUUGUUUAUGCACAUAAGCUGGACUCUCUUUUGUGAGUCUCUUUUAGAGCGAGUUGGGUUGGAUUGUGUGCUUGUUGUUUAGUUAGAAAAGUGGUCGAAAAUGUUACACUCUGAAUAUAUGAGGAACUAUUUUACUCUAUUUCGGAGCAUACGAGGGAUCAUUUAUUUCAAUUUGGAUCAAAAUGAAGGAAAAUCCCCCUUCAUGGAACCAUUUCCUCACAUUGUAGGAUGGAUAACCUUUUUCUAUGCGGUUAAUGUAAAGAUUUUUUUUUUUUUUUUUUGUAAAUAUAAACAAGUUUAGAUUAUGUUACAUAAUAUGAAUUCAAAUCUCGUAUCCGUGACAUACAUUCAAAACUGUUAGUGUAAAAAAAAAAUCACCACACCGUCAGCGUAUAAAAAGUUAAUCCUUGUGAAAUAGUUAAUAGUCAUCCAUAUUUCAACUAAUAAUUCAAACUAUUAGUACAAUUCAAGGGUGAAAAAAAAAACUCUCAUCUCACUAUUUUAACUGUGAAUUUAACUUCAUGGGAUAAUAAUAAUAUUCAAGGAGGAUAGUAGAGAAUCUCUCAAAAAUGAAAUAUAUAUUUUAUUUGUCCGCCAGCGCCAGCCAGAAACUAGGGUAGAACAUUUAUUUAUUUUUUCUUGGGGAUAAAAAUCGUCAUUAUAUCCUAACUAAACUAGUAGUAGGACUUAAUAGGGAAGACGGUGUAGACGGUGGAGAAUGACAAAUUUAACCUUGGAGAACGGGUUCUUGAUUUCAAAGCGAAUCGGGUUCAUGAAAUAGUAGCAGUAGAAAGGGUGGUGGGUAAGUGGUCUGAGACGCUUCCACAGCUUCUAGGGCUUUCUCAUUUGGAUUUCCCUCUUCUUUUCUUCUCGUGUUGUUUGUAUUGGAGCUACUACUACUGCUGCUGCUGCUAAGUAUCACCAGUCUCUUUCCCUUGCCUGAGGAGGAGGAAGACGAGGACGCUUCUUCUUUAGGGUGGUCUUUUGAUAUUGUUCGAUUUGACCCCUCAAAAAAAAAAGAAAAGAAAGGAAGAAAGAAAGAUGGUGGGAAUGGGGAUGCCGGCGUAUGGAAUUCAGUCAAUGCUGAAGGAAGGGCACAAGCAUCUAUCCGGGUUGGACGAAGCGGUGCUCAAGAACAUCGACGCCUGCAAACAGCUUUCCCAAAUCACCCGCACUUCCCUCGGCCCCAACGGUACUCUCUCUCUCUCUACCCCCUUCUUCUUUACUCUUCUCCCUCUCCCCCGAUUUUGCAGCAUCAAAUCUAUGUGCUGCUGUCACUCACAUUUGUAACCUGUAUGUCUCAGUUGUAAACUAUUGCUCCUGCUUUUAGUUCUAGGGUUUUUCAAGUCACUUUUGCCCUUUCCUAGUAUUAUUUUUUUUUUCAAAAAAAAGGAGGGAUCUUUGCGUUAGGAAUUAUUUACCAAGGAAAUUCUUGUAUAAUGCAUUUGGGAUCUGUGGACGCGUUUCCAAUCUCUCUCUCUCUCUCUUCAGGUAUGAAUAAGAUGGUUAUCAACCAUCUCGACAAGCUUUUCGUCACCAAUGAUGCUGCCACCAUCGUCAACGAGCUCGAGGUUCAGCAUCCUGCGGCUAAGAUCUUGGUUCUGGCUGGCAAGGCACAACAAGAGGAAAUUGGUGACGGUGCUAACUUGUGCGUCUCUUUUGCUGGGGAGCUUCUCCAAAAUGCUGAGGAGCUCAUCCGAAUGGGUCUGCACCCCAGUGAGAUCAUCAUUGGUUACGCUAAGGCCAUUAAUAAGGUUUCCAUCAUCCCCUGCAGCCUUUUUCGUUUUUAUCUCUUUACUGUUUCCACCACUUCCUCUUUUCUUUUUCUUUUUUCCAAUUGGCUGAGCAAUUUUUUUUUAUUGGUUACCGUUCUGUUUCAGACAAUCCAAGUUUUAGAGGAAUUGGUUGAAGCAGGUUCUGACACCAUGGAUGUCAGAGAUACCAAUCAAGUUAUUUCUCGCAUGAAAGCUGCUGUUGCUAGCAAACAGUUUGGUCUAGAGGAUAUAUUAUGCUGCCUUAUUGCUCAGGUAAAUAUUGCUAACUUUGCUGUUGUUGGUGUCUCAGUUGGGAUUCUUCCCUUGUCCUGAGUUAUGGUGUAUUUGCAACACAGGCAUGCAUCCAAGUUUGCCCAAAGAACCCAGCGAACUUUAAUGUGGACAAUGUCAGAGUCACAAAGCUCUUGGGUGGAGGUCUGCAUGAUAGUAAAAUAGUCCGAGGUAUGGUAUUGAAAAGUGAUGCUGUUGGAAGUAUAAAGAGGAUCGAAAAGGCAAAGGUAGACACUCAUAAGCAUGCAUCUGGUUGUUUGUAUGCUAUUAACUAGUCAACGGCUGUGCUUUGAAACACUUCAGUAUGUUUCUUGUGCCAAUUCAAAUCAAUGUAGCACAUUAUGAGGCUGAAAGAGUAACAUGCCAUCCCUUUUCUCCUCUGUAUCUUGUAUGCUUAUGCAUAAAAGGACAUCAUUUUUUGGUCUGAAUCUUUUUCCAAUUUUUUAAAGAUCUCCCUCAAUAAAGUAGGGUUCUAAUGCCUACUAAUUUUUCAGUCCUGGAAAUAUGCUAUUUUUAUUUUUUGAAUUCUACAUUUGUAUUACCACUUGUUGAUUAAAACGGAAGUAGUCUCACGUGCUUAAUGCCUCUUCUAAACGAGUUUAAUCAAAUUCUUCAAAAGAUGUGUCGGCUGUGUUCAGUUAUUCGGUCUGGUCUGGGUGGCACCUGUUCUCUAAUCAUCUGUUAAAACUUUUAGAAUUUCUGGUCGUGUUUGUUUUAAAGAGGUUUCAAGUCAUGGCAAAAUUGUUUUAUUCUUUUCCUGAUAAAAGUUAGGAAGGACGGUACUCUUGCUGAUUUACCUUAUGAUUGAUAUUCAUUCUUUAUCAGGAGAAUUAAGACUUUGUAAUCAUUCUUGCAGGUUGCUGUUUUUGCUGGAGGUGUUGAUACAUCAGCCACAGAAACAAAAGGAACUGUCUUAAUCCAUAGUGCUGAACAGGUAUUAAGGGGAGCGUCUAGUCCUUUAGAUCCUCAUUCAUAAAGACGUGAACUAGUUUUUUCGAAGUCCAAACCUCUUUGCACAUGGUAUUUAUAGUCUCAAGUAAAGCAGUGAAUAAACUUCUUCUAGUGUUCAUCUAUUUUGUUUGCUUUCGUGGAAUUCUGGAGCAUCUAGUAACCUGUUCUGUGUUAAUAUCCUCUCAUCUCAGAGUUUGGUAAUUUUUAAUCUGUUAAUCUCUUCUGCUUUUGCAGCUCGAAAAUUAUGCAAGGACUGAAGAAGCUAAGGUUGAGCAACUCAUCAAAGCAGUUGCAGAAUCUGGUGCGAAGGUUAUUGUUAGUGGAGCAGCUGUUGGAGAGAUGGCACUACAUUUUUGUGAGCGUUACAAGUACAACCAUUUUCUCUACCUGUUACUUUAACUUUAAUUUUUGUGCCUUUAUUUCUACAGAGAAAUGAGAAGUCAAGUGCUUUUUCAUUUCUGCUAACCUAGCCUAUUGAAAGAAUGGUUCGUUUCUCCUAAUACAAUGAGAGUCCUAGUUUGCCUUUGUAUCUCUGUAUGAGGUUGCUGUACAGUAACAGAUAGGUAUGAAUAUCAUAUCCUGAUGGGAAUGAAAGGUAGGGCAACAAAAUAUUGGCACAUUCUGCACUAUAGACUACUGAAAGGUCGUGUGUAUUGGUCACUCGUUUUGACAACUUUUCAUCUGCUUGAAUAUCUUGGGAAACUUGUAUAGGCGAUUCAUCAGCUUGAAAUGUAGAUUACUCUCCUUUAGCUUUGUGUCAUUUUGCUCCAUUUUGCAUCCCCUUUCUCACCUUGGAUAUAGUGGGAAAAUUUCCUUUAUUAAGUGUAUUUAUACAUGAGAAGAUAUGUAAAAUCUGCUUGUCCUGAACUUUUUUCCUUAUCUCUUUUGUAUUCAAUUUUUUCUUUUUUGUUGUUUUUCGGGGGAGGGGGUGUUGGUGGGGCGGUAAUUAUAGUUGGAGUCUUGGACGAUUUUGCAUUUGCCUUGACUUGGAUCUUGAAUUGCUAUCGUUAUGGUUCAUCUUUUCCUAUGCCAUGCAUAUUACUUGUUGUCUGUUUGCCUAACAACCUAUAUAUGUUGAACAACUGAUUACCCAGUACAUAUCCUUUGCAGGCUCAUGGUCCUAAAGAUUAGCUCCAAAUUUGAGCUUCGACGGUUUUGCCGUACCACUGGUGCUGUUGCUCUUGUAAGCAUCUUGCAGUCAGAGAGUAUUAAGUUGUGAAACUUCGUUGUAUUCCUUCUGAUUUUUGUUUUUUUUGGCGAUACAGUUGAAACUUAGUCCGCCAAAUCCAGAUGAUCUUGGAUAUGUUGAUUCCAUUUCAGUGGAGGAAAUUGGUGGUGUUAGAGUAUGAUAAGACUGCCCAUAGUGCUGUUACUCUUCAAUUUGUAGUUGUUUCAACUGCUUGGAUAUGAUUUUUAUGAAUGAUGAUUAGGUUACAAUUGCAAGAAAUGAAGAAGGUGGAAAUUCUGUAUCCACAGUUGUUCUGCGAGGUAGCACUGAUAGUAUAUUAGAUGAUCUUGAGAGAGCGGUCGAUGAUGGAGUUAAUACUUACAAGGUACCCUUUCUUGAAUAUAGCAGAUAUACAUUUGGAAUGAUGGGUUUUCUUCUGAAUGCCUUUGCAAGUUGUUAACUAUUUGCUUCUUGGUGAUUUGCAAGUUUUUACUUGCAGUUAGGAUCUAAUAGACUUUGCUGUUUCCAUCCAUACCAGGCAAUGUGCAGGGAUAGUCGGAUAGUACCUGGUGCUGCAGCUACUGAGAUUGAAUUAGCCAUAAGACUAAAGGAGUUUUCUCUCAAAGAAACUGGGUAAUGCACUUCCUUACCUUGCACUGAAGAAUGUUUUAUUUUAGGUUAAGGCAGCUGUGCUGAAGUGCAAGCUAUAUACAUGUUCUUCACAAGCUUUAGCAAAUAUUCUAUCCAUUUUGCACAUGUAUUUAUUUAGUUCUUGUUUUGAAAAGUUGAUGUGCAUCUGCUUUGUGGCUUCUUUUUGUCCUACCAGAAGGUAACAUACAUCUUCAACCUUGUCCUACCAAAAGUAACAUACAUCUUCAACCUUGUUUUGCAUAUUCUUUCUGCUAUAUAUGUUUGUUUGAUUAUUUGCAUGGGAUAAGGUAAACUUGAGUAAAUUAUUGGACCUGCCAUUUUUUGCCUUGAUUGCUGAAUGAUCUGCUUGAAAAGUUAGUGUUCUCCCUGUAUAUGAUUGAACAGUGUGGUUGAAAUCUGAGUUAGAGGACCAUUUUAUUCACAUUAACUUAAUGACAAGUGUUGCAAUCUAUUUCUAAAGUGUUUUUGUUGAAUGUUUGUGCGAAUAUGUACUGGUUUCUCAUAUCCAAUGGCAUACUGUUAGUUGUCUAUUGUUGUCUUGAUUUUCUUACCAAUUAGUAAACUGAAGCGUGGGUGCUUUGUUUAGUUGAGGCUUAGAUUUUUCUAUUGCCAUGCAGCUUAGAUCAGUAUGCAAUUUCCAAAUUUGCUGAAAGUUUUGAAAUGGUACCUAAAACCCUGGCUGAGAAUGCUGGGCUUAAUGCUAUGGAGAUUAUAUCAUCGUUGUAUGCCGAACAUGCAUCUGGGAACGCAAGAGUUGGCAUCGAUUUGGAAGAAGGCACGUGCAAAGAUGUCUCCACGAACAGCAUAUGGGACCUAUAUAUCACAAAGUAAGCUUUUUCCUUAUAUUGCUGAAAUCCACAUUCAAAUUUUUUCUAGUGUAGAAGUUUCAACUUUGAAGAUUGAGAGCAAAAUUUUGAAGAAUGAGAGCAAACUGUUGUUUUUAUGUCAGUCCUGGAGUAAGCAUUAAACCCUGCUCGUGAAGGUUGUGCAGAAGAUUGUUUAGCACUUUCUAGUGAUCUCAUUUGUAUAUAUCAUGCAUGUUAAAGGCUACCAACUAACUAAAUCUUGCUUCUGUGGAACAAUGUAAACAAAAGCUCAAUAGGGAUCCUUAGUUCUGUCGACCUUGGUUUUUGGAUCCUCAAAACCUAAUCAAAAGAUCCAAGCAACUCAGCUGUGCAUGAGCUUGUGAACACUCACAUGCUUGCCUGCUUGGGCUUUUUUAACCACCCAUGAAGGAGAUCUUUUUUUGUUUAGUUUCCCUGAGAUUGAUGCAUUCUGGAAUAUUCUUUUGUAACUCAAGCUAUUCUGGAAUAUGGAAUUUAAUGAAGUGUCAGAAGGCUCUUAACUAGGAAUUUGGUUCAAUUGACAGGUUUUUUGCUCUCAAAUUUGCUGCUGAUGCUGUCUGUACUGUCCUGCGUGUAGACCAGGUAAGGCAUUCUUGGCAUCUUUACUUUUCUUCUUCAUAAUGUGGUUAUCAUGAUACUGGUGGUAAAUUACCUAUUUCUGUGGUUUAUGCUGCAUUUAGUCGACCUUUUUGGACGUGAAAGAAUUUCACUUGAUGGUGUGAUAGUUAUACAAGAAUUAAGUAGUUUAUGGAGCGGAUAUGCAGAAGUAGUCUACCAGAUGGCCUGGUGGUUGGUGUGUAGGUGAUGACCGUGGGUUUAGGUAUAGGUUUUUCAGUUCAUCAAGUUAUUCUGUGGGUUGUGUGAUAGUCUUUUGAAUGUGCUGCCUAGAAGUUUCCCUUGUUGAGGCUAAAUAACCAGGUGGAAUAGCCCAAUGCUGUCAAGCAUGAUGGCACUUGUUGGUUUAUAAUGUUGAAACUUUGGUCCUUGGGUGUUGUAUUUACGCGUAUAGGUUCUGGGUGGUUGAGAUAUAGAUGACGUUUGCAGACUUCCCAAUGCAGAGAUGUCAAUCUCCCAAGUCAUGGAUCAUGACAGGAUUUCUUGGGCAUGCAAAAAAGCUCAUACUAUAUCCUCUCACUAGUUUCAAAAGAAGGCUUGGGUUAACCACAAUAUUGAAGCAUAGUUGGAGAUUCUUGUAGUAAUUUUGCUCAGUUUGGGACACUAAGGUCCCAUAAAGAGGGUCUAAAAGGUGCUGCUGUUGUAAAUAAUUGUGGAUACCUCUGCUAUAAAUUUGAUCAUAGAUCUUGUCUGACUUUAGUAGGUGCAGUGCAAAUAUUUUCAGUUGCUUUUACUCACAGAGUGAUGGAAAUGGUUCUUCAUGUUUUCGCGUUAAGAAGUUUUCCUCAUCUUUUACAAGAUUUGUGAUUGUGUGUCAUCACCUAUUGGUUUUCCGAUGCAGAUUAUAAUGGCAAAACCAGCUGGUGGUCCAAAAAGAGAUGCUCCUGCAGGGAUGGAUGAAGAUUGAGUGUUCAAUAUGAAUGUAGCGUCUGAUUUAGAUUUUGCUUGGUAGUGUUCUGGGCCUCUUGUGGGUCAAAGGGUUUUCAUCAGAGAAGGCGGAGAAUAGUUGAAUGUUAGCGUGUUGUUUCCUACUUUCAUACCAAUUACUAGGACGGACGUGGUCGAAGAAAAAUUUUGGGUGUUUUUGACUCUGAUUGUAUAUGCCACUAGAAGUGCAUUUGUGGCUUGGUUCGUGUUUAGCGUUUUCCAUUUUUAGUUAUCAUAUUACAGUGGAAGUACACAAUCCAUGGUGAAUUGGGCGUUUUAUACCUAUUGUGAUGUGAAGAGCCCGGCAUCAAAUUCUACAUUGGAAGCUUUGAAUUCUUGUUUAUCGGAGUGUCAGAUUAUAUUCUUCGCUGGAAAUAUUUGGAAAUGUUAAUAAAAAAAGCUUUUCUUCAUGGGCCCAACAAGGCAACAACGUCGAGUGCUUGCGAUGGAAAGCAAAUGAUUAUAUGCUCCUCAUUUUUUCUGUCAAAUGACGUAUGAAGGUUUUUGUGAAAUGGGCGUUUGGUUUUGAUUUCUCAGUUUUUUUUUAUUUUAAAAAAAAAAAGAAAAAAACAAAUACUAUACUGUAUUUGCAAGCAAUAAUCUGCUCUGAGCUCUUUAGCUAGUAGCAAUACGUAUGUGAGUAAAAGAGGUAAAAGCUGGGAAGUGUGGGAACCAGAUUACCGUCAAAAGUUUUCUGGGGUGAGAGCCAGGUUAUAGAAGAUUGGCUUGGCCAGUGGACGGUGGUGGUUCAAGAAACAAACUGCUUAGUGCUUAGCUUUCAUUCAAUCAUGGCUUCUAUUCUAUCCUUUCCUCUCCCAAAACCAAGCUCAGCUACUGUUAUACCUAAAGCUUCUUCUGUUCCAAUCACGUCGUCUCCUCCUCCUGCAGAGACUCUGGACCAGAGGUUUGGUCGCAAAGGCAUUAAAUUCUUGGAGUCCGCAGGAGAUGUUCCGACGGUUGAGCUGACUGUGAGAAAUGGCAGCUCAGUAAAAGUUCAAAUACCCAGUGGUCAUGUCACUUCUUAUAAGCCUAAAGUUUACUGGAAAGAUGAUGGCUUUGAGGAAGUCCUCUACACUCUUCCAGCAAAUGGGCAUUCUUUCAGUUCCCCUGCUCCUCCUCCUUCCAGAGGUGGUAUUGGUUUGGCAUUCAAUGACCUUUCCGACCCAAAUUCAAAAGGGUCUCUUCUCAAAACUUCUGAAUGGACCGUAAAAGAUGUUGACUCUGAUUCUAUUGAUGCUGUGCAGGUACUUUCUCAUCCUCCUCCAUUAUGACUUGCGAGUAGGAACCAGUCAUUCAUUUUGCUCAUUUCUUUUUGCCAAUAUAGUUUUGCUUGCUCUGCUAAGUGCUAACUGCUUUUCUCUUCUCUUCUUGAGAAGAAAUAUAACUACUGGGGUUGCACAGUUGCACCCAUGUAAUGGCAGCUUUUGUUGCUCCAAAAUAAUUUAUAGGGGCCUUUUGACAUGGAUUCACUACAGUACUGAAUUCGUUUUUUCCACCUUGGACAAACUCUGUGUGUGUUUGGCUGCAGGUUGAACUGUGUAGCACCAGUGGAAGUCUGGAAUUAACUUACGUAGUUUCACUCUAUCCCUUGUGCGUGGCAACCGCAGUUAUUGUGAAGAACAAUGGCCGUAAAGCUGUCAACCUGGCUGGCGCCAUUCUUACGCAUUUCAGGAUGAAGGGACGAAGUGGAGCAGGUGUGCGAGGCCUCAAGACCUGCUCUUACUGCACCCUCCCUCCUUUAUCUUCGCACUAUGAGAUUCUAUCUCCAUCUGAAGCUGUUAAAACCGAGGAUCCUGGCUUCUUCUCUUUUGGCUGGGAGGCCGAAAAGAAACCAGGAGAAUGGAGUGUGCAAGGCGUUCCCUUCACAGUACUGAAGCAUAAGCUCAGUAGAGUUUAUGCUGCUCCACCAGCUGAUAGAUUGAAAGAGUUCUACAAUACCACACCUUCAAAAUAUGAGGUACUUGAUCAGGUAAUGCCUCAGCAUUCGACUAGCAUUAUCCCGUGUACUUUGGACUAUACAAAGUCAAUGGUGUUGAUGAUAAUUCCCUCUUAACUAUCUCCCAUAUUAUCAUUUCUAUAGAUGCAGUUGAAUAUUUAUAACCUGCUUCAUUUUUCUAAUGAAUUCUGUCCCUUGUUGGUUCUUUUCUUUCCAGGGCCGAGAGCUCUUCUUUAGGUUUAUACGAAUGGGUUUUGAAGAUAUAUAUUUGUCCAGCCCUGGUUCUGUCUCUCGGAAGUAUGGGAAGGAUUACUUUAUAUGUACGGGCCCUGCUUCAAUGCUGGUUCCGAUCGUCAUCAACCCUGGUGAGGAGUGGAGGGGGGCACAAGUCAUCGAGCACGAUAAUUUGUAAAAACCAUCAAUUUAACAGACAGCACCAAUUGAUUUUCGCCCUUGAGUUUGUUCUGAGAUGUGCAGAUAUUGAAAUAUGUACAUUGUAGCAUCAAUCUAUUUCAUGAAUCGUGAUAAUUGAGCAGUUCUUGGAUAACAACUUAGCGGGACAAUUCAUAUAUUCUGUAGGAAAUCCAUCAAUCAAGAAUGACAGCAGGAGCAGCUGCAUAUGCAGAUGUGAGACAGAACUUUUCAUCAUUUUUCACCAUUUUUGACGUGGUAGUAAAUGGAUUAAUCAGAACCAACAAUAUGGCAAACAUGCAUCCUCCGCAUGUAUUGCAGUUCAGAUUCAACUGGCGUUUGACAAAGCAACCACUCAAGCAAGAGGACGAACAAGAGAAUAAUCUACUGCCUCUGUCAAGAGUGGAACAAUUACGCUCAACCAAAAUAAUCUGAGAUUAAUUGCAAAUUCAGCUUUUUGUAAAAAAUCAUUCUUCCAUCACCACCACCACAAAUUCUUACAUAGGGAUGAUAAGUAUACAAGUAAUCAAGGAGAACUUGUCCUUGGGUGAUCAUUGGUGUUGAGAAGAUCAUGAAUCUGUCACUGAACUGCCCCAGAAAACUUAUUGCUGCUGCACAGUAAGCAAGAAAAUCAAAGAGAUAAUAUAACAACUACAACAGCUCAGAUAACAAAAGAUAGAUAGAUCGUCGAACUUUCUUCAACCAAGCAUCUUAUUCCUCUUUGAUGGUAAAUCGAGAAACAUUUGAGACAUCUAAAUUCACAAGAAGUCAUGCCAAUCCGAGUCCUACACCAAACUACAAACCAUUUGAUUUUCUUGUUCUGCCACCAUACCAAGUGUUGGUGUCUGUUCCAGAGUUUGAUGUCCUUUAGUAACCUAUGGUAUAAUUUGUGUCAAGAGUCUUUGCAUGUGUAGAUAUAUUAUGAGAAUAUGGAUAUCAGAUUCAAAAAAGUAAAAGAAAAAACCUUAUUUUUGGCCGCCUUCUCAUCUGUCAGUGGAGUUCCCACCCUGUUUCCAACUCCUACCUGUGGCAAGAAGUUUUUAUUGUGAGGCAGACCUGACGAACUCUGAUUUCUUUCACUACUCAGAGUAGUAGCAUCUGUGGCAAGAAGUUUUUCCCUUGCAUUGGUUAAAAAGUUCACCAAAAGGUCACAUCUUUACUCAUUUUCAGCAACAAGACGUUGCACUUCCAACAAUAAUGGACUGAGACAGUCAUAACAACGUCUUUCUUCAUUGUCACUGAAAUCAUCAUAAACAGCUUUUACACGCUGGUAACCACGAUUCAUGUCUUUGCGCCAUCAGUCCAAAACAUAACAUGUUGAAACCUUGGUAAAAUUGUUCAUGGUUAGCACAGAGAUUACAUGCCUACAAAGGAUACCCCGAGACUCAAAAAGAUGACAAAAAACAAUUAAUCUGACAUGCAUUUUCAGUAUCAUAAUGUACAUCAAACAUAACUUCUUUCCAAUGUACUCCUUCAUUAUCUAACAUGUUUUCUACAACACCAUAAAUUCAAACUGACCCCUCUUUUUUCACAAAGCAGGCAGUGCAAAACAUCAACCCUCUUAAUUCCUCCUGAACCAACUUGAAGAUGGAGGUAGUGUAAAUAUUUUGAAAUUGCUUUUCAAUGGGAUGUCCAGAUAUUGUUGGCGUGGUGGAGUUGGAUGAAGCAACAUCUGAAUUUUUCUCUCUGUCUAUCUUAUUCUUCAAAGCAUUAUCUUAGUGUUCAACAAACUGCUUCAAUGUUGUUUUUGACUUGCCAGCCCAAAAAGUGUGCCAAUCUUGAUACAAUGAUUUUAACCAAUCAUUCUUCUCCAAUUCAAAAUCUUUAAGCAGCUUCUCCCAAUUCUCUUCAAACUCAUCCCCUUUAAUAGAAUCAUAAACAAUAUUUUCCAAACUCCCCUUUAUUGCUUUAUAAUAAGUAAGACGUCCUAAUAUUUGUGGGAGUUUUCUCGUUAUUUGCCUCAGGCACAAACAAUAAUGGGAAUCUGGAAAUUCCUCAGCAACAGCAGCUUGAAUGGAGCUGUCUUCAUCAAUGAUUAUAGCCUUCGGAGCACGUCUUAGCAUGCUUGUUAACCAAGAUCUGAAUAACCACACAAAAGUUCCGUAUCCUCCCCAGAUACCAAUCCGCAACCUAGCAAUACAGUUUGGCCAUGGUGGUACAUUCCAAUGAAUGAAACCAAAGGCAAAUCACAGCUCUGAGUCAAACAAGUAGUAUCAAAAGAAAUGACAUAACAAAAGGACUCAUACGUUGCUCUACACCUUGCAUCUGCCCAAAAUAUAUUUUUUAUGCGACAUUCUUCAUCCAAAUUAACCGCAUAAAAGAAAUUAGGAUCUCUGACUUGCAUAUGAUGGAAAAAAAUUACUCAAGGCCCAAGCAUCUCCAGGUCUGAGUCUCAAACUUUGAGCUUCUGAAAUGUUUUGGUCAUGUAAGUGUGAAACUUUAUUUCUGUUCUGACAUUAGAAUAGUCCGAGAACUUGUCACGUCUAAUAUGGUGUGAUUUUUCUGGAGUGAAGUCAUGACUGUGGUCAAGGGAGUGACGACGCAAGUACCAUCAUCCAUAGUGGCAACAUUGAUUUUAGCUUUACAGAACAGUCGGUCUUUGUGGAGACUGAGAGCCUUCCAUGGUAAGAAGGUUUAGUAGUUGAUUUGGUCUUACCAUUCUUGGAACAUCCGAGUGAAAAAUACUUCUGCUUGCCAUCAUCAUCUCCAUUCUUGCAAGAAACUUUGGAAAUCCCAAAUCCAAGACGUUGAGCAUAAGAUCUAUAGAAUUGGCGAACUUGUUGUUCAGAAGAGAAUUCCAUCCCAGCUUCAGGGGUUGGAACUUCAUCCUUAUUUGAUGAGGAGUUAUCCAAAUGUGGUGGGUCAUCUUCAGGAGAAACUUUCUCUACCUCGUAGGUCCGUUGCUUAUCUUCUUGCAUCAUGGUAAUUUUGUCAGUGUCACUGGAAUAGAAACUAUCUACCUUUUCCCAAAUUUUAUUUUUAAGGAGACUCUAAACAAAAAGGAGAGCUUUGAAUCCUGCCAAGCAUUUUAUUUAUUCAAUUUCCAAUUGAAUUGAGUUUUCCUGGAAGGUAAUUCCACAUCUAAAUUACGCAAAUGGGCAGUUCAGGCCAACCUGAAUUAGGCUCCAAAGAAAAAAAAGUAGAUAAACCAUCAUCAGAGAUGAGGCCGGUAGCAGGUUUUUUUGGGUAGUUUUCAGUAUAUUACCACUGUAAACGAGGAUGAACUUAAGUCUUGAGUUUGACAAUUUGCAACCGCAACCAACCAAAAGCAGGCAGAAAGAGCACAACAGACAGUUGUAAAAAAAUCUCGUCACUUUAUCCAAACAUGUGUCUGGGGAGUCUAUCCUAAAACUCUUCUUCCCUUUAAUUGGAAUCUCCCUGCAAGCAAUUUAAUCCAGACUAGCAAUAAGAGAUUAUGACACCAUUUCAGCUUGAGGGAAUCAUGACAAGUAGUACCAUCCACUCUGGUUUCCUCUCUCCACACUUCAUCCCUCUUUCCAACACCAGAAAACCAGUACUGUUACCUACCAAGACCGUUCAUCGUCUGCAGUGUCCUCCUCCUCCUUUCGUGUGCAACAUUUCUAGCAGGUAUAAGAGUCUUUAUUCCACUGUUGAUUUAUGUAUGUGCUUCCUAUUGCUCUGUCCAUCAGUCGUCUUUAUGCUCUAAAAUUAUCACUAUUUCUCAUUGUGGAUCAGGGGAGGAGAAACUCAGUCCUGGUAGGGAGAAAUGGGUUCAAUGAACUUUACAUGUUCAGUCCAGGUUCAAGUCAUGAAUGGUAUGGCAAAUACUCUUAUAUAUGUGUAGGACAAGCGGCCCUGCUUCAACCUAUAACCUUGAGCUCCCAAAGUGAAUGGAGAGGCAAGCAGCGUUUAUGUAAUCCAAACCUCUGAGCGAGGCUCUAAAAAUCUACUCCAGUGUACACAUAAAGGAAUGUCAUCAAACUCUGAACAGAAUUUGUGGAUCAGAAUAGAGAACAUUUAUCUUUACUACUGCAAGGAACUUAGGCCAUGUCAUCGAUAAAAUAAAUCUGAAUCAGUAAUUGUAACAUUAAGCCCAGCAACAGCCCGUACUACACGAAAAGGAAAAAAGAAGCAAGGAGCAGAAAAGUCCCUUUUGCAUCCUUUGCAUAUCAUUCAAUGGCAAUAUGUUUCAGUAGCACUAUUACAUAAAACAGGACCAUAGUCUUUGGAGAUUGCCAAUCAAAGUACCAAAAAUUCUUCAUCUUGUUUACUGCUCUGCUACAACUAAAGAAGAAACGGCUCAGUAAGUAUUUGUUGUUUUAUAAGGCAUAUCAGCCUGAUUACUUUCCAGGAUAUUAACUCAACUAGAACUAUAUUAGCUCUUAUGGCCUGCCACCAAACACAAGUUAGGUGGGGACAAGAUUGUAACCUUCUCCUUGAUCAUCAAUUAACAUGAAGCAUAAAAUAGUUGCAAAUAUAACAAAGAGAAUGCCGAGUGUGUUGCGAGUAGGCUUCCAGUAGCCUUUCAGACCAUCAACUCUAGGAAUUUCCAACUUUGGAGAAGGUUUUGUUGUAUCCUCAGCAGGGAUAUCUUGUGUUGAAGACACUGAUUCGGAGCUUCCUCGUAACGCUUCGGACCCUGUAGGUGACUUCCCAUUCCCAUUAAUCUCAAGGCCCCUCAUUUGAUGAACGCCAUUCUGUUUAUAUUUUGAAGUAGGAGUCAUUUCAUAUUGGCUUGAAGGACUUCUGAAUCUCCUAUUUGGUUUGUCAGAGUCUGAACUUUCCUCAUUGUGAUCCUGAAGGGAGUGAAUUAGCUUUCUUGGUGUUGCAAAGAUCUUUACACUGUCAACAUUGAUGAGAGAGCGAGAACGCUGAUAGAUAUUGCACACGAGAAACAUAUGGGUCAGCAAAAGCAAAAGCAUUUUCAAACAGACUACAAAGCAUGAACAUGUUCACAAAUUAAAGCUUUGGAGUAUUCUAUGCAGCAAAUUCUCUUGUCUCUAAAGGUGAGGUUCACUAUUCAAUUUAAACAAAUGCAAAUGUGCACUAGGAUCUUAGACUUCUUUAAAAUGCAUCAUCAAAUCAUACUCCAUGGAGAUGUUUUCUUCUUAUGGCAUUUUCUUGCUAUUGAAUUCAAAAUCCAGCAUGAAAUUGUUGUUCCAGACGUGUGAAUAUUCAAAUACCUAGUAGGCCUACCUGAGGACUGGGAGUGGCACUUCUGGCAACUCUAUUUCUGGAACUAGUUUGGCAAAAUCCAACAAAUCCAUCCGUAUAAUCUCCAGAGAAAUCAGAAAAACCAUCAUGCUCAGAGCUCCCCAUGGCACUUCCGCGUGUUACCUCUGAAAAGAUACCAUCCUUGAGAGAGACGUCUAAAACACCAUUCUCACACCUUGACCACAGUUUCCGAUUCACACUCCUUCGAUCAUAAGCGAAGUCUGGAGAGGUCUGAUUCGUUGAAAUUGGGGAGUCAAAGAAGGAAUCGUGCCCACAAAAUGAAUUGAUAGUCUGUGAUUCAGGUGAAGCUGUCAGAGGUGAUUGAUCCCCAGAAUCCGACAAAUUUCUUCUUCUUAAAUCUCCUCUCCUGUCAAAAUUUGAGCCAGUGACUGAAACCAUAUCUUUCUCAAAUUUUGAGCUUUUCUCAGUACAUAUCUUUCGAGCAGUUUGCAAUGCUUCAAAAGCAGCCCCACUUACGUAAGCCAUCUGAUCAGACUGACAGUUCUCCAUCACCUUAAUUAUUAAUUCCAACUCAGAAGAGAUGCUUUUGUGAUCCAAACACUUCAUCAAAGAGUUCACCAUAUGAAUGGCGGACAAUCUUUUUUGAGAAUUGGCAUCUUCAUUCAGAAUCUGCAGUCCAGUGCGGAUCAACAACCUUGCAUACGCCUCGACAGUCAAACUGUUGUGCUUAGCCAAAGACAUCACAAGUGCCAUGUGCGAAUUAGUUUGCAAGUGCUUGUCCAAAGCUCCAGCAACUCUCUGACAUACCUCAUUCACCAUCCCGUUUGAAGCAAACCUCCAGUUAUCGCACUCUACUAGAGCCUUCAGACAAAGAGCAGCUCCAGAAGAUAGGCUCUCAUGACUGCCCAAAAGACAAUCGGAGAGAGGCUUACAGAGAGAGUGAAUGAUGUGUCUCUUCUUGUCCUCGGGAGUAGUUGGGUCCAUUCCAUACCUGGCAAUUGCCGGAACCACCUUAGAGCAAGCUUGGUGAAGAGCAAAAGAUCCUGCACUUGACAUCAAAGUCUUGAUAAUAGUGGUCAUGAUGUUGUCAAUUUGAGGGACAAUUUUAUGUCCAUGAACACGAGCAAGAACCUCAUAUAGUGAGAUCGUAUACUCUCCAGAAGAACCAGUUUCUUUGGUCUCGGAAACCUGUGCGAGAAAGAGAGGGAUAGCUUUGGAAUCCAAAUCUUUGACAUAGGAUUUCAAGGCUUUCAUAGCAGAUUUUCGACUGUCAGCAUCCUUGUCAAGAUUUUCCAACUCCCUUCUGACCAUGGGACUAAGACUUCUUAUUCCCAUGGGGAGACCACCUAUAUGUCCCUGAGGAACGAUCUCGGUCAGUGAAGAGGUUAAGUGGAAUUUAUCGCGUCAAUUUUUUCUUUAAACUCAAAAAAAAAAGAAAAAAAAGAAAUGGUCGUUGUACAAUGAUAUCAAACUUGUGAAAUGAGAAUGACAGAAGUUGGCACACGAUAUGUAACACAAGCAUAGAUCUUGAAAAGGUGAAAAAAAGUUAGCUUUGUGGCAGUGAAAUCAAAGGAAAAAAAAAUCUUUUUCAUGGGCAUGUCAGAUUUCAAACUUGUAGAAUCAAGAAGCUAGCAGCACACACAAAUGUCAACCACACAAGAUGUUGAUAUAAAGGAUGCUUCUAGUUUCUUUACUAGGUCACCAAAAAAAAAAAAAAAAAACUCAUGCCUUUGGGCGUAAAAACUGCAGAGAAAAUGAAAAGCUACAGCCUUUUAAUUUAAAAAGUUUUUUUAUUUACAGGAUCGUGAAAAGGGUUGUUGAUAAUAUGGAUAAAUAUGACGUUGUGAAUUCCAAUCAAGAAAAGAGGCAGUGUGGCGACUAAAAUUGGGUGUUGGACUCGACAAGAACCCUCUCCCUAGCCUGCGGUGGGAUAAACAUUUGAGGCGUACUUGUAAGAGAAUAAAAAGGAAAGAACUGAAUUGGCAUAAACAAAGCCUCCCUCCCAAGGGCCAAGAUAGAUAGAUAGACAGACAGAGAGAUGAAGAUCAUGGAAUAGUAGUAGUUAAAUGAAGAAGGGGGUACCUUUCCUGUUAAUCAAGACGAGAGUCCCUCCCUAGCGUCGAGUAUUAUGCUGCUUCUUGCUUGUGGGUUGCAGCGCCAAGAUCUGGGCUUUACGGAAUCUUUUUCUUGCCGUGAUGUUGCAGCAGUAGGUUGUUUAGACUUUUACAUUGCCAAAUGGCAAUGCAUCCCCGCCGCCGCCGCCGCCGCAACCCUCAAAGCAAAAGUAAAAUGUGGUUGCCGAAUCAAGCAAGGGGACGAAGCAGAGAAGAUGUAUUUACUUAUGUGUGGGAAUUGAAGUGAAGGGGGGCCGGAGAGCUGUGCAAGUAAGUGAGUGUUGUUUCCUGGGCGGGCGCUACUGAGACAGUAUGCGAAGGGGCUUUCCGAUGGUUGUCUGAUUCUGAUAUGAUAUCAUAAAAUCCUCUCCCUCUCUCUCUCUCUCUGCCUUUUUUGGACAAAAAUUACAAACACAUAUCAGAAUGAAUACUAGUAAUAGUCAGUCAGUCAGUCAGCUGGAGCUCAGAUCCAUUCGGGCGGUGUCGGAGUCUAAUUCAUCUUCUUUUGAAUCUUUUUCUUGAAUUCCCCCGCUAUCCUUCCCCCCGCCCGCCCCCUCCUUUUCAAUUCCUUCCUGCUUACCACUCGCCCUUCUUUUCACAUUUCAUUUUCCGGUUCCAACCUUUUUUUUUCUUUUUUUUCUUUUUUUGGUUUUGGUUUAAAACCCACAGUUCCACGCAACUACUCACAGUCACUAGUCAGCAGUAGUACGUAUUGCUGCUGCUGUUUUACCAAAUAUGUUACGAUUGUUUGCUUAAUUAUUUUAUUAGCUUUUCCUCUUAAUCUUGUAAGUUUUUUUUUUUUUUUAAAGGAAACAUAUCGGUUUGGUUUAGGAUGCAAAGAAAAAGGGGGGAAAAAAGGGAAAGGAGGUGGCAGAUGAUACUGCCAGACGGCCCCUGGGGGGGGUGGUGCAGCUCACUUGGUUGUGUUGAUUGUCUGUACAGUAUAGAUCACGGUUCGAUUCUCCCCGAAUUAACGCACUGGAGUAGAAAAUAGAUAAGAGGGAAUGAUAUAAAAUGAUUGAUUGGCAGAAUGUAGGAGGAGCAAUAUGGUAAUUUGGGAGAGUGUCAUUUGAGACCCCAAAAUUUAGAAGCUUAAUUGCAAAAACUUAAUUAAGUAAGGGCAAAGCUGUAUCAUGAAGAGAAAUUUGUUAUGAUGAAUCCUAAUUUUUGCUCUCUGGCAAUGUCGCCAGCCAAAAGAGGCUUACAUGUUACUACUAUUUGAUUCCCUGUGGAGGGGGGGGGGGUGCAGCUCACUUGGUUGUGUUGAUUGUCUUUACAGUAUCGAUCACGGUUCGAUUCUCCCCGAAUUAACGCACUGGAGUAGAAAAUAGAUAAGAGGGAAUGAUAUAAAAUGAUUGAUUGGCAGAAUGUAGGAGGAGCAAUAUGGUAAUUUGGGAGAGUGUCAUUUGAGACCCCAAAAUUUAGAAGCUUAAUUGCAAAAACUUAAUUAAGUAAGGGCAAAGCUGUAUCAUGAAGAGAAAUUUGUUAUGAUGAAUCCUAAUUUUUGCUCUCUGGCAAUGUCGCCAGCCAAAAGAGGCUUACAUGUUACUACUAUUUGAUUCAUUCUCAAGCAUUAGACCCAGAGUGAGUAUCAAAUACUGCUUCUAAAAAUCCACUUAUAUUACCGUUGCCAUGGGAAGAAAAUUCAACGGAUUACACGCAUCAUAUGUACUGAGAUCUCCAAUGGGGGUGUAAUGGGGAGCCAUUACACCCCUCCAUGACACGGCUCCAAUGUGGAGCCGUGUCAUGCGGAUUACACGCAUCAUAUGUAUGAUGCGUGUAAUCCGUUGAAUUUUCUUCCCAUGGCAACGGUAAUAUAAUAUUCCAACGGCACAAUUUUCUUCCCAUUGAAUUUAACAUUCCAACGGCACUAUUAUUUCCAACGGCAUUAUUUUUUAUAAUUCUAUAUAAAUACACAACACUUUUUACUAAAACAUAUCCCAAUAUUCUACUCUAUUAUUUCUUUUAUUCUCUCACACACUUCUACUCUCUCACUCAUUUAAUUCAUUUUUUGUGAUUAUGGAUGAAAAUUGGAGUAGUUUGACAAAUAUUUUUUAAAAAUAACAAAAUUAGUUUUAAAAAUUACUUUAUUUAUUUAUGGGAUAUGAGUUAUGUAUUAUUAAAAUAAAUAUUUGAUUAAUUGUGAACCCAUGCUAUUACACCUUGUGGAGUGUAAUCCAUUGUGAGUGAAAGUGUAAUAAAAGAGGAGAAAGUGGAAUGCUGACGUGGCAUGUGGAUUACACUCCACAAAGUGUAAUAGCAUUGUGGAUGCCCUAACAGUAACAAAAGAAACUCAAGGAAGAGGGAGGGACCCUUCUGCCUGUCCCUGACCUUUGGACCAACAUUUAUACACUCAGCAAUUCGAUUCCAGCGAUUCAUUUCCAAGCCAAAAACCCGAAAGAGAAACUGCACAAAGUAAAGGAAGCCUCGUCAAAAAGCAGCUUCAACCUGCAAAUAUAUCACUCCAUUUCCCUCCAUAAACCAACACGAAUCUAUCAAAGUACACUUUUUAUGAAGUCAGCAGACUCAGCACACUCUUUACUUCUUCCAGUCCUUCAUUCCUAGGACUAAGAAUGGAGGAGUAGUUUCUUUGUUCGUGGCAGAAACUACAGUUGCAUCAUUGACCUGCAGCUCCUCAACCGCAUUUACAGUUUUACAGCCGCCAAUAAACCUACAUCCACCCCUCCUCCACCCUCCAUACAUAAAUUUACUUCGUUUUGCUGACAUUCAUGAUUAAACUUAACAAACGUAAUCAAUAAAACCUCAACCAUUUAACUUCAAACGAUGCCUCCAAGAAUAAAUGAAUGAUUCGCAUCAUACCAAAGGAAAAAACAAAAAUUGAUAUGAAUGAUUGAGCUGUACAGUUGUAAGAAAGACCAGUUUAGAGCUAAUUGUAUCUUACCUCACGGUUAUCAUUCAACCACUCAUUCUUAGCCCUACCAUGGAGAAGAAUCCCAAGUUUCUGCUGAUGCAUAUUCAUUCAUUCUGGAUGUCGGAGCUAUCGGUUGAGAUUCACUAGUCCCAAAAAUAAAGGACUGAAAUGCAACAAUCUGAGGAGUCACAAAACUACACAAGUUACGGAACAAGAAGUCAUGCAUCCAUAAUUUGGGCUAACUAAACGUGCUGUGCCUCCCCGUACAUUCCCUCUUACUCCACUAAACGUCUCAGAUUCAACUAAAUCCCCAGUUUUACUACAUGGGCAUGCAUUGUGAAGUCCUACACCAGUUGGAACUUGUGCUGUGGCUUCUAAUCUACAGCUUCUUCAUCUGGAAGGGAAAAAAAAAAGGGGAAAGACACUGAUUUCACAAGUUACCGGAAAUAUUCAUACAUUCCAUAUGAUACUUGACAUAAAAUGAUAAAAUUUCUAAUCGACCAUUUUUGUUUCAUUGAACAGCCAGAACCCGACAGUAGGCAGAGCAAACUUUGCUUCAUUUGGCUUGACAGGUUAAUUAAAAUCAGCAUCAAAAGCAAAACCCUGUUCUAAACUCAUCAUUUCAAUGUCUGUCACACUCCUGGUCCCAAUCCCCUUCCCAGUAAUCAACCUUCUUUCAUUGAGGCAUUUUGUAAAGUUUUUUUUUGCACUUGUCAUUCUCUAAGAACUAAGUUAUGAAGGAGAGAAGCACUGGCUCAUCUAUUCCCAAUCAUCCUGCGGGUAAAUCAUCGCAAGGAAAGAGAAAAUGUAAAGGUAAUAAACUGAGCUACAUAGACAGAUUAAACGGAGUAUGAGUUCAAAUAUUCCUAGAUAUGUCUGCUUCCAGUGGAAGAAAUUAUCUAUAGCUACCAGAGUAGCAUGUCUAAUAUAAAUACAUUCUGGAAUUAAUUCAUGAAUUUUGUGCCAAUAGUUCAAAGUUUCUUCAGAUUAUAUUGGAGCAGGAAAAUAUACCAAGCUUAAGCUGCACAAAUGACAAAACACAAAGACCUUCUGCAAAAUGGUUGACUUUGGACUCUAAACAAGACACUUACUAUGGCUACCUAUCAAGCACAAGCUGGCACGAACAACCAGAACACACCAGCAAUUUGCAUUUCAGAAAAUAAAGCGAAUGCCACAGAAAAACACAUCUUCUUAUAGAACUCUAUACUACCAGAAAUUGAAAGAUAUACUCAUUCUUACACCAAAAGAAGUAUGGUGGAGAAGGAAACAUGAAAAACAAAUAGCAUUGCAUCAUCAUAAAAGGAAACAAACGGGAACUCAACAGCUACACGUUCAUAAACCUUUAUAACCAACAAAACAGGAGUAAGCUCCAGUGGAGAAUGCAUUUUGUUGCACUAAUAAAUUAACGUUAGGUGUUGCCAUAUCUGUCCCGCUUAUUCUGCUCUUUAGUAUUAAUAAAGUUAAAUCAUACAUUUUUAUUUGGAGUAUGAAAUGUAACAUAAAAAUGCAGAUGGCUCAAGUUGCAGCAAGAAUCACAAAGUAGCAAGGACUAGCCAAAGUUUUUCACUCAGCAUACGCAUUGAAAGCCUUGCAUGCUUAAAUGGACAAGUAUAAAAGAAGAAUAGAUACCUUUUUUUUCCCUUUCUGUAGAAUACAGCAUAACCGUCAAAAGACACAAUUGCAUUAAUCAUCAUGGCUAACAAUCAGUGCGGGUACUAGGAGAAAAAAGAUACUACAUCGUCGCCAAUCUUGCGAGGUUGUAAAUUCCAAAGAAAAGAGACUACACCAAAUAUACACUCCAGCAGUUGCAUUAAUGAAAAGGAGACAUGAAGUGAGGAUUUACUAAUGCCGAUAGAAGUAGCCCAUUUGAUUUAUUAUCGUGCAUCGAGGUGGUUCAGAGAGAAGAGAGAUGGUGGAUGGGUGAAGACUUAGACGUAGCCACCAUUGACGCGAAUGAUCUGACCAUUAACCCACUCCCCAGCAUCAGUAGCCAGGAAUCCCACCAGCCGAGCCACGUCCUCUGUUUCGCCCAGUCUACCGAGCGGGCUCUCGUUCACAACCCUCUUGAUCAUCUCUUCUGUCAUCCCAGCAAAGAACAUGUCCGUGGCGAUAGGCCCCGGGGCCACGCAGUUGGCGGUUAUACCGGUUCCCUUGAGCUCCUUGGCCAGUAUCUUGACCAUGGACUCCACAGCGGCUUUGGACCCCACAUAGGCAGCGAAGCCGGGCCUCAAGUCGGCCACCAAGGAGGUGGUCAAGCAGAUGAUCCUCCCUCCGCCGCCGCGCUUGAUCCUGUUGGCAGCCUCCCUGCAGCACAAGAAGGCCCCCCUGGCGUUAACGUUGAAGAUGUUGUCGAAAUCUUCCAGGGCGGUGUUGGCCAGGGUUGGGUGCUUGGAGUCGAGUACACCAGCGGAAUUGACGAGGAUAUGAACAGGGGAGGAGUUGAAGGCGGACUUGGCGGAGUCGAAGAGGGACCUGACCUGGGCUGGGUCGGAAAUAUCGGCUCUGACGGUUAUGGCGCGUGAAGCAGAAGCAGAAUUGAUUUGGGAGGCUACGAGGUCGGCUUGAGCUGGGUUGGAGGAGUAGUUGAUCACGAGGUUGGCUCCGAGAGAGGCAAGAUGGAGGGCUAUGGCCCGCCCAAUUCCCCUGGAGCCGCCGGUGACGACGGCUACUCGGUCUUUGAGAGGGAGGGGGAUGGAAUCAGCCAUGCUGCCGCCUGAUCCUGACUCCCACUAACUGCUAAGUUGAAGUAGCGAAAAUGGAUUGGAUGUCUUUGGUUUGAUUUGGGGAUUAUUUAUAGCUGGGGAUAAUUGCAGAAACCUCCCCUGAGAUUUUUGACAUUUUCACUGACCUCCCCUCUAGGUUUAGAAAUUACAUUCACCUCCCCUAAACACUAACAAUUCGUUGCAGAAGCCUCCCUGACAGCUUUGUAGAAAUGAGAUAAGAAAUUUCUUUCAAUUUUGCCCUCUUCUUGCUUGACAAUUAUUAUUUGCUUGACAAUUGCUUAACUAAUUAUCUAAUUAGUUAAUAGUUAAACUAAUUAACUAUUAACUAAUUAUCUGAUUAAUUAUUAACUAAUUAUCUAAUUAAUUAACUAAUUAACUAAUUUUUAUUUAUCUAAUUAACUGCUUAACUAAUUAACUAAAUCUGUUGUCUGUCCGAAACUAACAAACUAUUUGCAUGUUAAACUAAUUAACUAAUUAAUUGCUUAACUAAUCAACUAAUUAACUAACUAACUAAUUAACAGACCAUUUGCAUGUUAAACUAUAUGCAGUACGCAUUACCUAUUUAAAGUAUCGGUUCUUUAUAGGUAUUUUACUUUCAAACAUUUAAUUUAUGAUAAAAACAUCAAUGUUUGUAAGUAAAAUUCAAAAAGUGUUACAGUAAUAUUCUUACAAAAAGGAAGGGGCAUAGGGCCAUAAAUUAAAUGUUUGAAAGUAAGAAUAUUGAUAUUUUUUGUAACACUUUUUGAAUUUUACUUACAAACAUUGAUAUUUUCAUCAUAAAUUAAAUGUUUGAAAGUAAAAUACCUAUAAAGAGCCGAUACUUUAAAUAGGUAAUGCGUACUGCAUAUAAUUUAACAUGCAAAUAGUUUGUUAAUUAGUUAGUUAGUUAAUUAGUUUAACAUGCAAAUAGUUUAUUAGUUUCGGAUAGACAACAGCUUUAGUUAAUUAGUUAAUUAGCUAAUUAGAUAAAUAGAAAUUAAUUAAUUAAUUAAUUAGAUAAUUAGUUUUUUUGUCAAACAAUUAGAUAUUUAGUUAGUUAAUUAGUUAAUUAGUUUAACAUGCAAAUAGUUCGUUAGUUUCAGUCUUUCAGACAGACAACAGCUUUAAUUAAUUAGUUAAACAGUUAAUUAGUUUAACAUGCAAAUAGUUUGUUAUUUUCGGAUAGACAAUAACUUUAGUUAAUUAGUUAAUUAGAUAAACAAAAAUUAGUUAAUUAAUUAAUUGGAUAAUUAGGUAGUUAAUUAGUUAAGCAGCUAAUUAGUUAAUCAGUUUAACAUGUAAAUAGUUUGUUAGUUUAGGAUAGACAACAACUUUAGUUAAUAAAUUAAUUAGUUAAGCAGUUAAUUAGUUAAUUAGUUUAACAUACAAAUAGUUUGUUAGUUUCGGAUAAACAACAACUUUAGUUAAUUAGAUAAUUAGGUAGUUAAUUAGUUAAGCAGCUAAUUAGUUAAUUAGUUUAACACGCAAAUAAUUUAUUAGUUUCGGACAGAUAAUAGCUUUUGUUAAUUAGUUAUUUAGAUAAUUAAUUAAUUAGUUAAUUAGAUAAAUAGAGAUUAAUUAAUUAGAUAAACAGAAAUUUGUUAAUUAGUUAAUAGUUAAUUAGAUAAUUAGUUAAUAGUUAAUUAGUUUAAUUAUGCAAAAAUAGUUUGAUUAGUUAAUAACUAUUAACAAUUAGAUAAUUAGUUAUUAAUUAAUUAGAUUAAUUAGUUAAUGGGAAAAUGACCAAUUUAGUCCCUAUACUUUUUUUUACUGUCAAUUUAGUCCUUAUAUAAUUUUUUUGGCCAAUUUAAACCCUACACUUAUUUAUCGGUUCCAAUUAAGGAUCUCCGCGGCGGCGCCACCUUGUAAUUGCGGUUCAACAUCUAAUUGACCACUUAUGCGGGGGCAUUUCUGGUACUUCACUGUUGGGGCUCUUCUUCAGAAUUAAAAAUCAAAAUCAAAAAGUUACCGGUGUAAUUUUUAUCACCACUGAAGAUAAAGGUCAGUGACUCUGGAGAUGUGAUCUGGUCGGUGGCGCUGGACGAAAUCACUGCAGCGAAAUGCAUCCAAGUAGGAAUUGGGACAAAGCAUCCUCAAGGUCAAGCUCACGAAGUAGUGAUGGAGUACUGAAGAGCGUCGGUGUCGGGUUUCAUGGUGCAGACAGUGAAAGGCUGAUUUAUGAAGGAAAUGAUGAAUAUUAUAAUGGAGACAAAAUGGUGCAAUGCCACUGCCGUGAACAAUGCAGAAUCGUGACAGCAUGGACGGAGGCAAACCCAGCAAGAAGAUUUCAUGGUUGCAGAAAUCAUGGGGUAAUUUUGUGUGCUAAAUGUUAGAUUUUGUUGAGUUAUUGCUUGAAUUUUGACUAUAAAAUAUAUGUGAAUGCAGAAACGUGGGCUUGUAAAUUUUUUUUGUGGUAUGAUCCACUCAUAUCCCCAAAAAUGAAGAACACACUAGCUGCAAUUUUGAGGGAACUGAGAAGUACCGAGAGGGAGAAUGUAGCAUUGAAGAUUGAAAUCAGCAAAUUGAAGGCAAAAGUGAAAGUAUUGUUCUUGGCUUGUACUUGUUGCUGCAUUUUAGUUGUUGCUAUACUCGGGUGCACUCAAAAGCAAAAUGGUAGCUUCAGUGAAUUGAAGAUGUUGCAGUAGUUCUAGACAUUGUAUGAAAGUUCAUUAUUCUUGCUCUGUUUGACCAUGUAAUGCUGCCCUCUUGGAAUGAAGUAAUUGCAGAGGUUUCGUAUAAUAGUUUUGGAUAUGAAUUGUUAUGGAUUUGUAAUAGUUUUGAGUUCCUAGUUGUAUGUUUACAAAUUUGGGGUUGAAUAUCAAAGAGAGCAGCUUUCUUCAGUCUUUAGUGAGUUUUCGGUGAUGUACUCAGAAAUCGAACUGUGGCCUGUGACUUGUUACUACACACAGUAUGAACUGUGACUUGACUCUGUCUUCCCUUAUCCCUACAUCAAUCUACAUGUUCAUUCCUAGUUCCAAACACUGCAUCUUAAAUGGAGCUAAUGCCAUCAGUUCCUUUCCUAAAUCUACCAAUAUAUACUCUGUCCAAAUUGAGCAAUCAACGAAUCAAUUCCAAUCCUUCAGCUAGGCAGGGGAAAAUUUUCUGAUCAUGCAAUAGACAUUCAGAUGAGCUAAAAACUUAGCCCCCAGACAAGUGCAAAAAGCCCCCAGCAAAUCUUAAAGAUGAAAUAGGGCACCUGCAACCUUCACGAGUUGGGAACAAUAGUUCACUAGUCUUCAAUCACCAAAUAAACAAAAGACAACACCAGUAGCACAUAUGCUACAGAAUCAAUUUUUCCAAAAAUCAUACUACUAAUCAACAUCUCAAAUGUUAGAACUGAUCCAUCAGAUUAGAAUCAACAUCACAACACAUAGGAGAAUAUCCAGAAUCCAGAAUUCAUUAGAUUAGCAGUUUUAACAGCAAAAAACAUUCAAUAGCUCGAUUCAUUACAAAAGAAAGUGAAUCCCAUGACAUAAAGGUCUUCCAGCAACUUCAUCAACAAAAAAACAAUAAGCCAGCUUCAUCUAGCAACUUCAUCAACCCAAAAAUAGUCAAUUCAAAAACAACUUCAUCAACAACGUCAUUAUCUAAAUAUUAUCAUUUUCACUGAUCAUCCAACUCAUCGAGUAUCCUAUGAGACUGCAAAUACAUACAUAGUGAGAAUCUCCAAGAGUAAAUUAAAAUCAAUAAUUUAUAUACGAUUUUGUGGCCCCAAAAAAGUUACCUUUUCUUUUCUUCUUUUCACAGUACUCAUCCUGUUUCUUCAUGCUUGUGCUUGGCAGCAAGUGCAAGUUCUUUUGGACUGGCUCGAGGCAUGACAAUAAAAAUAACACAUUGUCCUUUUGAGUUUCUGAGAGCUUUCAGUUGGAGCAGUAAGUUGAACAUCAAUUUCUUCAGAAACUUGAUCAACUUGCAUUAUAAAAACAUGACAAAUAUCAGAUGUGUUCAUCAAACAGUAAACAGGAUUUGAGCAACAAUUAGAGUAGUAGUUAAAAAACUUAAAAUGUAGCAACAUAUCAGAUGUGUUUCAGAUUCUUACAAUGUAGGAGAGUCUUGAAAUGUCUCAUCACAGUCUUGAAAUGUCUCAUUACAGUCCUCAAAUGUCUCAUUACCAUCCACAGAAGGAGCUGUAACAAUUAAAACAGAUUAGCAGCCGCUAGAUAAAAUAGUGCAACAUGAAAGAAAAUAUGAGUUCAGUCAUAUCAGUUUCACCGACAGUUCCGUCUUUUCCUUUGACAUCCAAUGGACAAGUUCUUGCAUUGUGUCCAAAUUUCUUACAUUUUCCACACCUAUUACUAUUCACAGGUGGUAUUCUUUCAUUGCUAUCCACUCCUUCCAUGUUGAGGUAGCAUUUUCUUUUAGUGUGGCCCUUUUGAUGACAAAGAGAGCAAGUCAUACAUGUAGCACCCUUUCUAGACAGUCUUGUGCAUCCAGCCAUAUCAUUUCGUGGCUCAUCCGGCUCUCUCCUCCUUACUUUCUUAGGCCUACCGGGAAGUUUUAGUUUCUUAGGUGCAUACAUAGGGGCUCUCUUACAUUUUUCCAGUUAUUAGGUCCAUUAAUUGGACUAAUAGCUGGCUCGUAAGCCUUUAGAUAUGAAUCUCUUGAGUAAUAUGGAUGCACUAGACUUUCAAACUCGGCUCCGGUCAAAGCAAUGCAGCCUAUAGCAUGAGAACACGGUAAACCAGUGAGUUCCCAUUUUCUACAUGUACAUGUCUUCGCCUUUAAGUUAACAACAAACUUGGCCCCAUACAUAUGUGUCACCUCAAAUCUGUCAUCAUUAGACUACCUGGCAAUAUUUGAUCUAGCAUCAUCCUUUGCCUUUUCAAUUUUUUUUGAACUUUUGGACAAAUAAUAUCACUUCUUUUUCUCAUCCAUUCCCUCUUUGUCCUAAGUUUUUCUAUUAGAUAUAUCCUAAUGUUUUCAAGCAUACCAAGGAUGGGUUUUUCUCUUGCAUCUAAUAUAACAGAAUUAAAUCUCUCACACACAUUAUUGAAAAGAAUAUCACAUUUAGCCGUGAUCCUAAAAUGUGAUCUGGACCAAUGGCAUUGCGAUGUGUUGUCCACUAGCCAUUUGUGUGCUUUCUCAUCAUACUGUCUCAACAUAUCCAUUUCAGUUUCAAAUUUAUUGACAUACGAGGAUCUUGCACAAGUCCAAAACAUACCCUUGAGUGUUUCUCCAGGAUGGACCUUUUUGAAAUUGUUGUGUAAAUGCCUAACACAGUGUCUAUGCUCCACUCCAGGAAGAAUAUCUUGGAUGGUAGAACCCAAACCCUAUUAUAUAAAACAACAAAAAAAUUCAGAAAUCAGUCAUUUCAAUAAAGUAGUUUUCCAACAAAAAAUCAGUUUCAAAUUUCUAUAUUACUUAGCCAUACCUUUUGCCUAUGACUGAUAAAUGUCCAUUGUCUCUGGUCUUGGAUUAUGAGAUCAAACUUUAAGAAUUCAAUGAACCAUGUCCAAGAACUCUUGUUCUCGGUCUCAACCACUGCAUAUGCAACAGGAUAGAUGCAAUCAUUAGCAUCUAUCCCUACAGCUGUCAAAAGCACUCCCGGAUGUGGUCAUCUUAGAUGGCACCCAUCCACACCAAGUACAGGUCGACAUCCUUCUUUAAAACCUUUUUUCAAGGCUGCAAAACAAAUGUAUAGUCUUCUGAAUCUCUCUUUUCCGCUAAAUUCAUCAGUCUCCGUCUCUACAUGCACUGUGGAACCAGGAUUUGAGCUCAACAAUUCCUCACAAUAGUCCCAAAUUCUUGUGUAUUGCUGCUUAUAUUUUCCUUGGAUCAGAAUUUUGGCUUUCCCAAAAGUCUUAUAAGCCUGAUCUUUUGUGAUGUUCACAUUCAGUUCUUCAUGCACCUUGUCCUUAAAUGCACAAACCGUAACUUUUUUAUUCAUUCGCAGAAACUCCAUGUAAUGCCUAGCCAAAAAAUCAGAAUUUGCAUGCUUGUGAUAGAAAGUUCUACCACAUUGAUGUUGUGGCCCCAUCGUUCUUAUCACGAAUGCAUCACAAUCUGGUUCUUUUGUAGGAUAAACAAACCAGUUGCAUUUCUCUUUCUUACAUUUUGCUCUGAUCCUGUUCUUAUCAUUCUUUUGCCAACCAUGCUUUUUGCCCCACUGCAUAGAAUAAUACUCAACAGCUCUUUUAAACAUCUUCUUAGUGUCAAACAAUAAACCAACAUAUAAUUUGGGGUCCUUCAUAUCCACAUCUAGCUUGAACCUUGCAUAUUUCGGUUUCUUGCUGGAAGUAUUUUCAUCCGAGCUACUAGAGCAGCUACUAAACUCCUUUGUGUUUAUGGAAUCAGAUUCCUCUUGGAUAGAAAUCUGGUCACCAUCAUAAAUAUCACAAUCAUGGUCAGCAGCAACACUUCCUUUUCCUUUUGCUUGUGCUUUGGCUUUUUGUGGCUGCUCUGAACCUUUCUUCUCUUCACCAGUGGCAUUUUUCCCUCCAUAACUAGCAUCAUAUACACUCCUCUGACCAUCAAUUUCGAUAUCAGCAGUAAUUGCACAAUUCUUGUAUAUUAUGUCAUCUUCGUCUUUCCUAAACUCAUAGUCACUAUCAUGAAACUUUCACCACUAUCCGUUUCCUCUAAUUCUGGUUCAAUUUCAUUAUCUGCACCUUCAUCUUUUUCAAUCACAUUAGCACCUCUCUGUUUACCCUUUUUUGUUUUUACCCAAUCUACUUUAGUUACAUCAACUAGAAGUUCUACAACUUCUUCAUUCCCACAAAAUUCAUCAAAUGUGAUAUCCACAUACAGUAGAUUUUUUUCCUCAUUCUCACUGCCUCUCUCGAAAAUUGCCAUGUUGUUGUUAGGUUCUAUGGAUCUAACAUGAAACUCUUGGACAAUGUAUAGUUCAACUUUUCCAGUUUGUAUACCUAUAGCAGCCAUGUCCAUGACGUCCUCUUCACUAUCUAUUUGUCUAACUCUCAGGCUCCCAUCUAUGGUAGGGAUCCUAUAUCUAUAGCUGGCGUUUUCAUCACAUCCAAGUAAAUGACCAAAGCUUAACACAGAAGCUACGUUAACCUUGGAGGCUAGAACCCCAUCAAAAUGCUUCAUGUUACUUCCCACAUAUUUUGGCUCUAGUUCUUCAAUGUAUGUCUCACCAGAGUAGAUAUACAGAGUGAAUACAUCCGAGUCAUCACCUAUUUUAUUUUCCAAACAAAUUAAAAAAUUACUACCAUAAUUUGUAAUUUACAGUCAUUGUCUGCUUUUUGAGGGACAUGAAAGCAACAUGACAAAUUAAAUUUACAGCCAUGGACCACAUGAACCCCUUUUCAGAAAAAAAAUGAAAACAGAAAACACAGCCCUUUUUCCAACCACAUUUCAAUCGAUCUUGCUAUUAAAGUACAAUAUUUGCUGUUCACAACAACAUAAACCCACACCGAACAUAGCAAAUUAGAUUUACAGCCAUGCAAACCCAUUUCAGAAAAAAAAGGAGGAACAGAAAACACAGCCUUUUUUCAACCACAUUUCAAUCGAUCUUGCUAUUAAAGUACAAUAUUUGUUGUUCACAACAACACAAACCCACACCGAAGAUAAUAAAUUAGAUUUAUAGCCAUGCAACCCCUUUUCAAGAAAAAAAAGGAAGAACAGAAAACAGAGCCCUUUUCCAACCACAUUUCAAUCGAUCUUGCCAUUAAAGUACAAUAUUUGCUGUUUAGGGCAAGACAAACCCACACCCAACUUCAUUAAGCUAUUACCACAACAAAUCAAACAGAUUUAAGUGGCUCAACUUACCCAUUUUUCUUGGUCCUGUUUUUUAAAAUUUCUUCUUUCGCGCCUUUCGUCACUUGCUCCCUUUUCAGAUUCCUUCGACUUCCUGCGCCACUACAUUUCCUUAUUCAUCACCAUUUCAGUCAAUUUCAGUUGAUUUUUGCAAGAUAAAGUUGAAGUUUCAGGUUUGGAUUUUUGUCAGUGGUGAUAAAAAUUACACCAUUAAUUUUUGAUUUUGAUUUUUAAUUAUGAAGAGAAGCCCUAACAGUGAAGUACCAGAAAUGCCCCCGCAUAAGUGGUCAAUUAGACGUUGAAUCGCAAUUACAAGGUGGCGCCGCCGCGGAGAUCCUUAAUUAGAACCGAUAAAUAAGUGUAGGAUUUAAAUUGGCCAAAAAAAUUAUAUAAGGACUAAAUUGACAGUAAAAAAAAGUAUAAGGACUAAAUUGACCAUUUUCCCUUAGUUAAUUAGUUAAACUAUGCAGAAAUAGUUAAUUUAGUGUAAUUUUUAUUAACAAAUGUUUUGUUGGAUUUGAUGAAAGUACUCAUCACAUUCAUUUGGUAAAAUUAAAUCAUGUCAGGGGUACUUUAAUAAAUUGACCCAUUUUUGCCUAUUAAAUUGCCUCCAACUUUUGAUAAGAGAGGUCAGUGUUAUUUCAAAAUUGAUAGGGACGGUCAAUGCUAUUACUAUAAAAGUCAGGGGAGGUUUCUGCAAUUAUCCCUUAUAGCUACGGACAAUGCCUUAGUUAUACUGAUACAUGCCAUGCGGGAAUUUUUUUUUUUUUUUUUAACAAACGACAUUUUUUCUUUUGUUGUUGUUUGGGGUGGGGGGGGUGGGGUGUUGGUUUAAUGGCCGCUGCACAUUGAUUAGAAUCUGACAUUUGCAUCAUAAUCGACACAAAUUUGGGGGGGGGGGGGGGGGGCUCUCACCAUUCUUAGGAAUAAUCUCACCAUUUGCAUCAUAAUCCAGACAUUUGCCACCAUUCUUUCGAAUAACCUGGCCAAUGACCCACUCCCCAGCACCAGCAGCCAAGAAGCUACAGGGCUUCUUCACCAUUCCUUCUGGUUACCCUAGAAUGGAAGUCCACGCAAAAGGAGGCCCCGGAGCCACACAAUAGGCAAUUAUCCUGGAUCCUAUGAGCUCCUUGACCAGUAGCUUCACCAUGGACUUUAGGGCUGUCCUUAGAGCCAGCAAAUGUCCUAACCUGGGAGCCAAUUUACUACAUGGGCAUGCAUUGUGAAGUCCUACACCAGUUGGAACUUGUGCUAUGGCUUCUAAUCUACAGCUUCAACAUCUGGAAGGGAAAAAAAAAGGGGAAAGACACUGAUUUCACAAGUUACCGGAAAUAUUCAUACAUUCCAUAUUAUACUUGACAUAAAAUGAUAAAAUUUCUAAUCGACCAUUUUUGUUUCAUUGAACAGCCAGAACCCGACAGCAGCAGGCAGGGCAAACUUUGCUUCAUUUGGCUUGACAGGUUAAUUAAAAUCAGCAUCAAAAGCAAAACCCCGUUCUAAACUCAUCAUUUCAAUGUCUGUCACACACCUGGUCCCAAUCCCCUUCCCAGUAAUCAACCUUCUUUCAUUGAGGCAUUUCCUAAAGUUUUUUUUGCACCUGUCAUUCUCUAAGAACUAAGUUAUGAAGGAGAGAAGCACUGGCUCAUCUAUUCCCAAUCAUCCUGCUGGCAAAUCAUCGCAAGGAAAGAGAAAAUGUAAAGGUAAUAAACUGAGCUACAUUGACAGAUUAAACGGAGUAUGAGUUCAAAUAUUCCUAGAUAUGUCUGCUUCCAGUGGAAGAAAUUAUCUAUAGCUACCAGAGUAGCAUGUCUAAUAUAAAUACAUUCUGGAAUUAAUUCAUGAAUUUUGUGCCAAUAGUUCAAAGUUUCUUCAGAUUAUGUUGGAGCAGGAAAAAGAUACUACAUCGUCGCCAAUCUUGCGAGGUUGUAAAUUCCAAAGAAAAGAGACUACACCAAAUAUACACUCCAGCAGUUGCAUUAAUGAAAAGGAGACAUGAAGUGAGGAUUUACUAAUGCCGAUAGAAGUAGCCCAUUUGAUUUAUUAUCGUGCAUCGAGGUGGUUCAGAGAGAAGAGAGAUGGUGGAUGGGUGAAGACUUAGACGUAGCCACCAUUGACGCGAAUGAUCUGACCAUUAACCCACUCCCCAGCAUCAGUAGCCAGGAAUCCCACCAGCGGAGCCACGUCCUCUGUUUCGCCCAGUCUACCGAGCGGGCUCUCGUCCACAACCCUCUUGAUCAUCUCUUCUGUCUUCCCAGCAAAGAACAUGUCCGUGGCGAUAGGCCCUGGGGCCACGCAGUUGGCGGUUAUACCGGUCCCCUUGAGCUCCUUGGCCAGUAUCUUGACCAUGGACUCCACGGCGGCUUUGGACCCCACAUAGGCAGCGAAGCCGGGCCUCAAGGCGGCCACCAUGGAGGUGGUCAAGCAGAUGAUCCUCCCUCCGCCGCCGCGCUUGAUCCUGUUGGCAGCCUCCCUGCAGCACAAGAAGGCCCCCCUGGCGUUAACGUUGAAGAUGUUGUCGAAGUCUUCCAGGGCGGUGUUGGCCAGGGUUGGGUACUUGGAGUCGAGUACACCAGCGGAAUUGACGAGGAUAUGAACAGGGGAGCAGUUGAAGGCGGACUCGGCGGAGUCGAAGAGGGACUUGACCUGGGCUGGGUCGGAAAUAUCGGCUCUGACGGUGAUGGCGCGUGAAGCAGAAGCAGAAUUGAUUUGGGAGGCUACGAGGUCGGCUUGAGCUGGGUUGGAGGAGUAGUUGAUCACGAGGUUGGCUCCGAGAGAGGCAAGAUGGAGGGCUAUGGCCCGCCCAAUUCCCCUGGAGCCGCCGGUGACGACGGCUACUCGGUCUUUGAGAGGGAGGGGGAUGGAAUCAGCCAUGCUGCCGCCUGAUCCUGACUCCCACUAACUGCUAAGUUGAAGUAGCGAAAAUGGAUUGGAUGCCUUUGGUUUGAUUUGGGGAUUAUUUAUAGCUGGGGACAUUGCCUUAGUUAUACUGAUACAUGCCAUGCGGGAAAUUUUUUUUUUUUAAUUUAAAACAAACGACAUUUUGUGGUUUUUGGGUUGGGGGGGAGGGGGGGGUUGGUUGUUGGUUUAAGGGACCGCUGCACAUUGAUUAGAAUCUGACAUUUGCAUCAUAAUCCACACAAAUGGCGGCUCUCACCAUUCUUACGAAUAAUCUGGCCAAUGACCCACCCCCCAGCACCAGCAGCCAAGAAGCUACAGGGUUUCUUCACCAUUCCUUCUGGUUACCCUAGAAUGGAAGUCCACGCAUAAGGAGGCCCCCGAGCCACACAGUAGGCAAUUAUCCUGGAUCCUAUGAGCUCCUUGACCGGUAGCUUCACCAUGGACUUUAGGGCUGUCCUCAGAACCAGCAAAUGUCCUAAGCUGGGAGCCAAUUAAGCUACAGCCUAUGGAUGGGGAUAAGCAUCUGAUGAUUCCUCAUCUGCGCCUUAUCCUGUUGGCAGCCUCCCUGAAUCAUGAGAAGCCAACCCCUGCAUUGACGCUGAACCUGCUUUCAAACUCUUUGAUGGUGGUGUUUGCCAAUAAGGGAAAGUUGGGGAUGAAGAAGCUGACAGAGUGGAUGAAACUAUGAAGCAGGGAGCUUGAGCAGAGUGAUGUACUUGAUGACAAGCUCGGCCCCAAGUGAGCCUAGAUUGAGGGCAAUGGCCAGCCCUAUUUCAAGAGAGCUUCCAGUUUACGAUGUCUAACCAGUCUUACAGAGGAAGGAUGGUGGCUUGCAUGCUUCCUGUCUGAUUGGUGGUGUUUGUGGUAAUAUUGGUUUGAACAGUAAUCCUAUUUUCAGCCAUGGAAGGAUUUGAGCAGAGAAGAAACUGACAGCUGGUUAUAUUCUUCCCAAGAUUUGGUAGAAAUACCAAAAAAUAGACUCGGGAAGCUUUUGUCUUCAUGUUUGGCAUGUAAAUAUUUGCUUCCAUCCCAGCUCAAAUCAAUGAUAUGUAGCACUAUUAAUCUUGGAUCCAAUAAACUCAUAUUGGACGGAUAUUGAUUUAUUGAACACCUCCUUCAGUUGACCUUCAACAUUGAAAUUAAUUUGCUCUGCAGGAUCAGACAGAGUUCUCAUCCCAUGUCUACUGCAUCUGCCACCAGGAAAAUACAAAAGAAAUAUAAAUUUUCCAACCUUUCCAUAUUGAUCAGCAUAUGCCAAAAUAUAGCACUGUAAAAAUUUUAUGUUAAAUAGGAUUUUUGGAGUCCAGAUUCUAUGACAAUUUUCAAUUUAAAACAGCACUAUUAAUUAUGAUACGUGAAGUCGAUUAGGAUAUGCUUGUACUCACAAGGUUUUUUGUCCCCCUUCUUUUGGGGUAAUCAAUAAGCUAGUGUAUUUGAUAUAUUGACCAGUCAGGAAAUGGGCUUCUAUUGUUCAUAUGACCUCCAAAAUUCAGUGUUUGUUUCUUCAAUGCAAGUACAAUUAUGUGAGACACUGAGCACUACAAAAAAAUACCUUGGCUAUUCUGUUCCCCUAUAAUUACUAAGUCUUGAAUUGUAAUUGAAUCAACAAUCGAAUAGAGAGGAGAAGAUAUCAGAACAAUGUUUCUCCCCUCAUACAAUUAUAAAACAUCUAUCUUGCAUUAUUAUCUACAAGUGAGAAUCUCACCUAAAAACUUGAUUCCAGUUUGGCUUGUCCAUAUCUCCAUGAAAGGACGCAUAAAGACCAGGGUCCUCCUGGAAAAGAACACCACCAAAUCAACAUCGACAUUUUCAUAAUGCCUCAGUACUCAAAACAACUUGGCAAGCACCUGAUCAUGUAGAAACCAAAGUGGAUUGAGUUAUGAGUGUGACAAGACUUGACCAAGGGCUUUACCUUUGAAAAGAGAUACAUAAAAGACACCAUCACUGUGUAAGAAAGGACAAUUGAAACUUAAUGCUUGUGGCGUUCAUCAGACUACGAUUUCGUUAAAUUAAAGACACACAAAUAGCACAAUUAUCAUUUAGCCAACUAACCACGAAAAGUAGCUCUUUGUAAGUGCUAAGAAGUUUCAAAACCAAAACCCAACACACACUAGAAUUGACUGACACUAUUCCAAGAGAAAGCUGUAAAACUAGAUAAUGCAAAUUUGCCAUGAUCAAAAAGAGAUAGGUUUAGGUAAAAUAAAGGCCUAAAAUAAAUGCUGUUAAACUUUAUCUGUAUAAUGGCUAAGCAGUACAAGUCUUAAAACAGUUUCAAUCUGAAAAGCAAAAAUAGAGAUGGUUGAGGGCAGAAAGAAAAUGGAGCCCCUUCUGCUGUCUCCUAAUUCUACAUGAAAGGGACAAUGCAGUAGUGUACGGUCUCAAACAUACUUCAAUAUGCCACAAUGUGACAAGCACAAGUGGUUGUUCUUCUGUGCAGUGCAACCCAUUCAAGUCAAUAUAGAAAAAACACCAAACUGAAUGCUAGGUUGACAGGGUGUUAGUACUUGUACCAUUAUCAAUCAGACAGCAAACUGCAACGAGAUAAACCAGGAAAAGUGAAAGAACUAACCUAGUUAAUUACAAGAAAAAGGUUUUGGGAGCAAAAAUUUCCCAAUCUCCUACUUUUGGUUCUUGAGCUGGAAGCAUGAUGAUCCCCACUUGUGUUCACAACUUUCUAAUAUAUCAAGCUACCAGUAAUCUUUGCAUGAACAAAGACCAUCCUUAAAAUGAUGGAACCGGUAUGUAUCCCUUACAACAAUAGUCCGAUUUUCUACCUUUGAAACAUACUUAAUCCAAUUAUGGCAAUCAUUACAGACCCGAAGGUUUUUCAUCACUCGUAAUGGAAUUGAAUCAGACAAGCUCAGCAGUCCAAAGGCAAUAGCCAACUUUUCGCUGUGGAUCAAUGCAGUUGGGUCUUUUUGACCAAGCUCCAUGUCAUUCCAAAUGCUAUAUCGGUCCUGUAUGUAACCCAUUGCAGCAACCCUAACAUUUAAAUCCUCAAGAAACGCGUAGAUCUGAUCUGCAAGAGGAUGGAGCUGAUCACCGACGAAAAAGGCAUGGAACGAGUUUUUAACUUCAAUCCAGCUACGACCAGGCUCUUUCUUUACACCUCUGUCUUUCAUCAGCUUCCUUGCAUGAUUGCGAUAAACCCAUUUCCCGGAAACCGCAUACAUAUUGGAUAGAAGAACGUAGGUAGCAGAGUCAUUUGGCUCUAAUCUCAAAAGAUGUUUAGCCGCCAAUUCUCCAAUUUCCAUGUUCUUGUGAACUGUGCAAGCACUUAAGAGUGUUCUCCAGACCAUUGCAUCUGGUUCAAUUGGCAUAGUCUCCACAAAUUCUAUUGCACGGGACAAAUGACCUGCCCGUCCUAAAAUAUCUACAACACAAGCAUAAUGUUCUGAUUUUGGCACCAGAUCAUGUUUUUCUCUCAUGGACUUGAAAUAGCUGAGCCCCUCAUCCACCAAACCCACAUGGCUACAGGCUGAUAAAACUCCGAUAAAAGUAACGUUAUUUGGCCUCACAUCCAGUUGUUUCAUUUCCUCAAACUGUUCAAUUGCUUCGGCGGCACAUCCAUGUUGAGAAUAGGCCGUGAUCAUGGCAUUCCAGGAAACUUCAUUUUUCUGAGGCAUUUCAAGAAACUCUCUUUUGGCAUCAUCAAGGCUCCCGGUCUUCGCAUAUAAUGUGAUCAACACAUUUGAAGCUUCUAUCUCAGCAAUAUACCCAGUUUUUAUGAUUUUGGCAUGGAUCUGCUUCCCUUGUUUUAAGUUUGUUGUAUUAGCAGCUGCACUGACCACAGACCCAUAAGUGAACAUAUUGGAUUCUACUCCAGCUAGAUUCAUGUUAGAGAACGUGUAUAGAGCUUCCUCCCAGUGCCUGCUUUGUGAAAAGCCUGAUAUCAAUGCAUUCCAUGAGAUGUUAUCCUUAUUUUUAUUUUUGUCAAAUGCCAAGUACGCAUCCUGUACUUUGCCGCAUCUAGCAUAAAGGCUUAUUAGUGCAUUGCUAAUUGACGGGUCCAAGGAAUAGCCAGAGGUGAUUGAUUGUGCAUGAAUUUGUCGUCCUUGAUUGAUUGCUUGAAGUCCAGCACAUGCACUAAGAGCACUUGCAAAUCCUAUAUUAUCUGAUUGAAUGCCCAAGUCUUGCAUUUCUAUGAAAAGUUUGAGGGCUUCCAAGAAAAGAUCAUGCUGAGUGUAUCCAGCAAUCAUUGCUGUCCAAGAGACAAUAUCUUCCUCUGUGAGACGCCUGAGAAUUUUCAGCCCAGUAUCCAGAUUUCCAUGUUUUGUAUACAUAUCAAUAAGCACACUGCAGACAUAAGCAUUUUGGUAAAGUCCAGUUUUGAUGACUUGACUGUGAAUUUGCUCCCCUAAGUCAAGAGCUCCUACCAGAGUACAGGUUCUCAAGAUACUUGGGUAGGUAUAUUGAUUAGGCUGCAGGCCUCGACUCUGCAUCUGUUCAAAAAUCCUAACGGACUCGUUCAGAUCACCUCUGAGACCAUAAGCCACCAGCAUCACAUUCCAGAGAACCACAUUAUCUUUCUGUGUUGUGAGGAAGAAUCUAUGAGCUGAUUCAACAUCAGAACAUUUGACAUAAAGGUCAAGCAGAGAACCUUCAAUGAUGAUAUCUGAACACAUUCCAGCCUUAAGCGCAUGAGAGUGCAGUUGUCUUCCCUUCAGAAGAGCUCCCAUUGAUGCGCAAGCGCUCAAAAGGCUUGAAAUUGUAACACAGUCAGGCUUCAAGGAGUCAAUCUGCAUUUUCCUGAAUAACUCAACUGACCUCUCAUUAUUUCCUUGUUGAACAAGUCCUGAUAUAAGUGAAUUAUACGAGACCCUAUCCAUCUGCUGCAUUUUGCUGAAAAUUUGUUCAGCAGGCAUGGGGUGACCGAAGCGAGAAUAUAAGGUGACGAGAGCAUUACACACAUAAACCUCUGAUGCAAAUCCCCACUUAUAGACAAGAGCAUGAAGCUGCAAUCCCAGGUCAUAAAACUCUAUCUUGGAGCAUGCACUUAUAACACAUGAGAAAAUAUAUGGAGUAGGGUUGAUUCCUGAUAUGCGCAUCUCAUUAUAGAGGAUGAUACUGUCUUCUUCACGCCCAUUGUUAGAGAAACCAGAUAUCAUGGCAACCCAAGAUACACUGUCCCUUAAGAACAUAUUCUGGAAGAUUUGCUUAGCAGAAUUGAUGAACCCAUUCUUCGAGUACAAGUCAAUAAGAGGGUUACAAACAACUGUAGCUGCACCAAAACCGUAUUGGAUGACCUUAGCAUGUAUGUGUUCAACGUAUUGAAAAGUGACUUUGCCAGCACCGCAGGCCCUCAAAACACUAGCCAAUGUCCAUUCAUCCGGCAUAACAUUAUCUGCAACCAAACGCGAAAGGAGUCUAAAAACUUGAUUGUUCAAUUUUUUCCCAAGAAAACCAGCUAUCAAUGUAUUCCAAGAGGACAGGUUUUUAGAGGGAAAAUCAUCAAACGUCUGCAAAGCAGAAAAUAGAUCUCCACAAGCAACAUAAACAUCAAGGAGCCGACACUGGAAGUCGUGGUCUUGACUGAAACCCAACUUAAAGAUCUUUCCUUGAAGCUUUCUGGUAUGGAUUAAGGACCCAAUGUUCAUACUAUAACAUUCAUUUACAAGCUCGAUAUAGGUCUUAGAAUAAACGGCAGGAAGAUCAACUGAGUCCGCUGCAUUUCCUUUUUCAACAGAUAAAUCAUCCAAAGCUCGUGCAGCCGCAAUAUUACUAAAAGCAGCAAACUUUAACCGAAUAGAGUUCUUCCUACAAGAGCUCUGUAAAAUUUGACUAGUAAGUGGACUAAGAUCUUGCCAAAGAACAGCAAUAAAGUAGCAUAUUGCAUAUAAAAAGUUUUUUUUUUUUUUAAAGAUAAAAGGAGUGAAUGAAGAAAAAUGGAAUAGUUGGGAGUAGCUUAGCGACCUUUGGGAAGUGAUGACGAACGAGCAGAGAAUAGGGGCACAGCCCACCAAACUUUAUUAGGUUUGAAAUCAUAUGACUCCUUACUAAUGAUAAUUGUAGAUGGUGAUUGGCGAGGAGGACAAUAGAGAGAAAUUGGGGAGGGUGGGGUGGGAGCAGAGAGACUUUGUUUGAAGUAGAAGGCGGCCGCUAUUGUUGCUGCUAUGGAGUUGCGGCUGUUUGGGUGGAAUCAGCGAGAGAGAGAGAGAGACAAAAGCAGGGGAAGGGGGCAACCUUGCAGCCUUGGACGGCGGUGAGUGGUUGUUGGGAGGCUGCUGCCGCCACUGCUGUGAGCGGUCGGUAAGCCCCUUGUGGCUAAUUUGACGGGCAAAAAAGCGCCUCCUGACAGGUUGCCGUGCUGAGUUAGCACGGCAGCGACAGAAAUUUUUGAAUUUUAAAUGGCGUCGUAGCAGAUUUUUGAUAGUAGCCGUUGAUCAAUGGCUAGAUCGACGGCUAGCAGCUUCUCAUGUAUUGUAAAACCCGCUGAAAACCCUCAACUCUCUGAUUUCUACCACAUUUCUCUCAUCUCUCCCUCUCUCUCAACCCUCUCAAUUCUCAUUCUCUCUCGUUCGCACAAUGGAAAGGAAAAUAGGAGCAGACCUCCGCCGCCGUGUUUCCAGGUCCUGACAACCACCAGGCAGAUGAUCUUUUUAAGCACAGCUAAAGAAGAAGUAAGGGGAACACUUUUUUAUUCUUUUAAUCAAUUAUUGUUUGUGUGUACUUUUUUUUUUGGUUAAUAAAAAUGCAUUAAAAAUAAAAUCAAGUCAACAGAGUGCAAAUUAAGGUUACUUUGUUUUUUGUGUGUACUUUAUUUUGCUGUAUUAUAUUAAGUUUCAUAAUAUUAAGUUUUGUUAAUUGGCCAUGUGAUUAAACAGAUUAGUUAGUUACCAAUUUAAUGGGUUAAACAUAGGAUUAAGAAUAAAUUAAUUUAGGUAUCAUUGAUAUAGUUUCGACCUGUAAUCAAUGUAAUUAAUUAGGUGUAAUUAAUAAUUUAAAUAAGUGUAAUCAAUGUAGUUAAUCAUUUAAAUAGGUGAAAAAAUAAUAAUUUAGAUAAGUAUAAUUAAUCGUAGCUAAUAAUUUAAAUACGUGUAAUUAAUGUAGUUUUUUAGCAUGUUAGUCUUUGUUGAUGGUGAGAUGUAUUAAACUAAUGUUGUGCUAUAUUAGGGAGAACAUGUCGAGCAACAAUUCCUUGGUGAUUCAUCUUUAUUGGGGAGGAAAAAUUGUGUAUGUUGGAGGAUCAAUGUCAUAUGAUCCGCCUGUGCCGAAAAAAGUUAUGUUCCUCAGAGAAAGAGCAGGUUUUGAUGAACUGGUGGACAGAGCGUACAACAUUACGAAUCUAGACCGGAAUAAGUAUAAGAUUAGUUUGAUAUUUCGGACUUGCCUGCAUUAUGGCGUGUUUGGUGCAAUGCCUUUGAUGGAUGAUAAUGGAGUCGACGGAAUGUACUUUUUGAAAGCUAACAGUGGACAUGCCACCGAGAUCUACAUGGAGGUGGAGGAGCUCUUAAGCUCGGGACGACAUGAUACUCAAACUUUGCAAAUUGCAAAUCCUCGUACUGAUGGAGGCACUAGUGUAUGUGGAAAGGAACCAAUGAAUACAGGCGGGACAGCUAGCUUAUUUAAAAGUCAGUCGACCCAGUUGGAUUCUGGAGAUGCCCAACCGACUCGGAGAGGAUGCAGACGGCGGCACCAAGUUGAGACGGAUCGUCCAAGCGGCAGUCGGCAGGCAGAACGCAUGUCAAUAGUUGAGCCUCGCGAUUUGGAGACUACUGCAGCUACAGUGUUCGAGCCCACGACAAAUACUGACGUUGAAUUUGUAGAUGUGGACGUGGAUUCCGAACCGGAACCAGAUGCCGAUGAUGACCACAACUAUGAUGCAUCUGAGCAGAGAAGUAAGUCAGGCGAAGGUGGUAUCAGCCUCAUACACGUUGAGCCUAGUGCACCAUGUACCAUUGAUGUAACGCCACAAUUGCGGUAUGAAGCCGGUGUUGAUGCUACAUUACGAUUUGAUCCUCUGGAUGUGAGAGGAGGUGUUGAGAAGCUCAAAUUUUGGAACGAGCACGCGAAGGAGCUACAAUUGGGGCACCUAUUUCAUACCAAAGAACAUGUAAAGCGGGCAGUGAAGUUGUGGUCUAUAAAGAAAAAUAGAGAGUAUAAAGUCCGAGAGAGCACGCCAACAACAUGGUAUGUCCGAUGCAAGGCUCGCAACUCCACACCUUCGUGUAACUGGCAGUUGAGAGCAACCUUACGUAGUUCCCAUAAGCUGUGGAUGAUUGUUACUCUUGCAGAUGAACAUACAUGUGUCCGUCCGUGCAACGGCAGUGACCACCGACACUUGAGCGAGGAUAUAAUUGCCGAGUACAUUAUCCCCCACGUCAUCAAUGAUCCAUUUUUCAAAGUUAAGAAAAUCCAAACAAUGGUGAAAAAGGAGCUCCACUGCAAUGUGUCGUACAAGAAAGCUUGGUCUGCUCGGCGCAGGGCUAUGAAUAUUAUAAACGGUGAUUGACCAGCAUCCGUACCGUAGCCGCCAGCCAACGUACGUGCAGGAGUUCCAAUGAUUCAACACAAGCAUGUCAAAGGACAGGGGCUAAGACAGAAAACUCAUUCUCAGGAGGUUUGGGGGGUCUUUACUUCUUAGCAGCGGGGCACCCUGUGUGAUUUUCUAUCCCACAUCGGAAAUGGGGGGGUUGGGUUAGUGUAUAUAAGUCCCCUGGACGUCUUCAAAAGUUGUCGGCUUUUGAAGAUUGUUCAGGGUUUAUAAACAUAAAAGUCUGAGUUUCCUCAGCUUUGGUAAAAAAGACGGGGGCUAAGAGAUUUUUGUUACUCGACAACACCUUGUGAUAAAGGCAAAAGAAGCGUGUGCAUCCUUAAAUUGCCAUUUCCUGGACAUUUUUUACACUAAUAAAAAAGUAUAAUAAUUAGAUGAAUAAUUUAAAUUAGAUAAUUUACGUAAUUUAAGGUUAUCCAAAAAAAUUAAAAGAAAAACUCGCACUCUAUCAAAACUAAGAGAUUUUACUGCAAAAAACUAACAAACUAUGGGAGAGCCCCUCAUUUUUUUUAAAAAAAAAAAUUGCAUUUUAUGGGCUCUUAAUUUAUAUUACGUAAAAUCUAUUUCAACACCGCAGACAUUAAAAAUAAAAAAAAUUUCAAAUUCUUCAGAGACAUGGCGAGCUCUCAUUCUUUUUUUUAAAAAAAACUAUUGUUGAAAAAAAUCAUUUGGAUCAUCGUGUUUCAUAAGCACGACAGACAUAUAAUAGGAUCUUGCCUUUUUGUUUUUCACCCAUAUUCUAAGAAAUUAGCAGCCCCUUGUGGAAUUAGCCGCUCUUUUACUUUGUUUAUUUCUUAGAAUGUCAAAAAUUUGGAUGCCAAUAGUUGCAAUCACUUUCUCCUGUGGAAUUAGCCGCUCUUUUUUUUUUUUGGGCAAGCAAUUUAUUUCAUAUGAAUUUUGAUUAACAGCUUAGAAACUACUGUAGUUAAUAGAAGAAAAUUUAUCAUCUCCAGACCCUUUGUUUGUUAUGUGAAUUAUAGGUGCUUGUUACCUAAUUUUAAUGUCUUAAAUUUUGCAGCUGAGAUUUCGAGACCUUUUAUCUGUAGGAUUUCGACGGCAUUGAUCAGCAACAACAUACAAUCAACAAGACAAGCGAGUGGCCAUAUCCACACUCUUAAACACCAGUAUGACAUUGAAAUCCUUAACAUUUAAUACAUUUCCUUCUGUCCUGCAAUUCCGAACAAUUGGUUUCAAACAAUUACAAGCAAUUUGCCUGGCAAAUACUGCAGAGUUCCUGUCUCUGCAUGGAAUAAGCUACCAGGAAGAGCAGUAAGCAAGUAACGACGUGCCAUUGCCACCACUUUUAUGUCAAAUUAGACCAUUUGGUGGAUUACUGGUAUUUCCUCAAGAUCACUUGCAAAUCUUUUGCAAUCUCCAUCACAAAGAGGGUCGAGAUGGCUUCGCUUGGAAAAGUUGAUCCGUUCUGGGAAUCCCGUGACAAACAACAGAUCAUGGUACAAAUCGCACGGAACUCUAAAGCGCUAUAAAGCAUCUGGAUCACAUCACUUAGAAGCACUUGAUGAUCAUCACAUCAAGCACGAGCUUAGAACAGACAAUUAUUGUUUGCUGCACACUAGUUAGCGUCCCUGAAACCCCAUGUGCCUGUUUUUUGCCAUAGAAGGUAGCCAUCUCUCCCCCCUAACCUUUUUCAAACCUGUCACUCGCUCUUCCUCUCUUUUAGCAGCUGCCUUAGCUGCUGCUUCUCUAGCUUCCAAUUUUGCCAAUGCUUUCUGGCCUGCAUCUCUUGCUGCAGCUAAAAUAUCCAUCCCAUCAACAGCAACAGACUGGAGUUGCCGUUUAAACUGCAAACAAGCCCAAAGGAUAUAAGGCCAGUAAGUUCUGAAAAAGCAUACACUUAUACACACCUUUUUUUGGGUUUUUUGGUCGGGGAGGGGGGUGUUUCUAAGCAUACCUUCUUUGACUUCUCGUCAAUCUCUUCUCCAGGAAGUAUUCUUGGUUUCUUAUUUGGUGGUUGAACUUCAUCUGAAAAAUGGUAAAUGUUGCUUUUAUAUCCCUAGGCAAUGCAGAAGAGAACGCAUAAGAAGUAGACACCAAAAAAUGGUUCAACAAUCGUCCAAGUUCAGAUCCCGCAAAGUACAAGAUUUAGAAGGUGCACUUCUGCUGAAAAUGCUUCCCCUCACAACAAAUUCCUUGAUUAAGUUGCAUCUCAACCAUCCACAAUGGAUGAAACCAAAUGCAAAUUGGACCUGUUUCCUACUGGCGAUUCUAUAUGUCCAGAUGUUUGCUGCAUAGAUGUUUCAGCAACCAAAAGAUUUGCUCCAUCAAGGUAUCUUAGAGAUAUCCAUGGAAAUUUUCAUUCCAGGAUGAAUUUAUUUCUCUGGUACCAAGUAAUUGACCUAACUGCCUGAAGCAACUUCCACGAACAAACAAUCUUAUAAGAAAUGCAAGAUUAGCACAUCAACUGAUCAGUCUAACCAUUACUUACAAAUAUAAGUGGCACAGAAAACGUAAACGCAAAACCAUUACGGAGCACCAAACAAGUGGCUGGGGUUGCGGCAGUAGCAAUUUCACUUGGACAGAGAAAGUAAAUCAAAUUGCAAUUUGUUGUUCUGAAAGAAUUCUGAAAAUCAAGAUGUUUGAUAAAGUUCACUCACCAAUGUGAUCAAACACAAUUCCACUGGGAGCAUGCUUAAAUAGCUGAAUUCCACCACCACUAUUUGCUGCAUCCUCAUCCGGAAAAAGAUCUGUGCUACUCACUACUUCUAUGGUCUUCUCCAUAAUAUCGUGCAAAAUUUUCUGGGCCUGUCAUGUAAUGAAAUUUGAUUAGAGAAAUAAAAAAAUAUGGCAGCAACAAAAAAGAAAAGGUCAAUUUCAAUAUCACGAACAAUAAUGGUCAUAUGCAGCUCAAGCUACUGUGGUAAAGAUAUCAUUGCUCAUUUUUUCUCCAACAUCAAGAACACAUCUCAAAUUUCAAAAAAAGUAUGGAGUAAAUGAUUCUAGCCUGUAGGACAAAAUUAAAGGGGAGAUCUUGCCUACUAGUUAUAGUGGGAGAAUGGGAGGAUACCACAGUUGCGACCAGUACCUGUGAAUGGUAAGUUGGGAGAAAAGAGAAAAAGAAGGGGAUUUAGGGGGAGAAGAACAAACAACUACCAGAGAAAAAAUCAAUUCUUAUUCAUCAAUCUGUCUGCCUAGAAUAACAUAGAAACACAAGUAUUCGCAAGCUAUAAACAGUACAAAAGCUCCUAUUUCCAAUUCCAAAGAGGAAAGCACACUAAUUAUUAAACUUUAAUAUAACAAUGACUCGAAUUAGUUAACAAAAAUAAUAAGGAACUAAAUUUAUUCAGUGACGUAUUUGCCAGAUACUAGCUGCGAACAAGUAGAAGGCCAAAAAAAUCCUUAAGACCCAAAAUUUUAGAAAGUACUAUAUCUCAGAAUAUAUAAUUAUGAUAAACAAAGACACUCAAUUGACACUCAAUUGAUGUAAUCUUGAACUUAAACAAAGACACUCAAUUGAUGUAUUCUUGCUCAGCUUAUCUUCACAUGAUGAUUAAUUUAAGGUUGAGGAAAUCAUAAAAAUCUUAAAUUUCAGAUUUACUUGAGCUCUUGGUUGACUGCAUAAAUAAACUUUUCAAUUGCUACUGAAAGGCAGAAAAGAAAGAAGAAGUGGAUUUAGUCAAAAUCCAUUUCCAUAUACAGUAUCUACUCAGAGAAAAGCCACGACAAGAGAGCAUUAUUCACUCAUUAAAGGUAAUACUCAUAAGUUCAACUUUCUUUGCCAUUCUAUAUAGAUGAACAACCUUUCGGUCCAAAAUUUAUAAUAUAAUUGAGCUAAACCUUAAUCUUGACAAAUAAGUUCCAUGCUUCUACUUUUAAAGUUAUAAAUUUUCCAUCCUAGGGCAUAGCCAAAUGUUUAAGCUACUCCUAAUCCCCUCAUUUGGUCAGCAAACAUGAAAACUAGAAAUGCAUACAAGAUGGAGAAAGAAAAAAUUGGAUUAACGAGGCAAUACCGGUGAAUAGAAGGGGAUUUUUAACAUGGCAUCCUUUCUGAAAAAUGAAAAAUGAUGGAUACAUCCCUUCUGGAAAAUGAUAAAUGAUGGAUAGGACAUAGAUUUGCGAAUGCAAUAUGACUGAAACCGGGCUUGCACAAUCACAUCUACCAAACAAAAAUUUUCAUCAAAACAUCAGGAAUGGAAGUGAUCUUUUAUAUCUAAAAUCCUAAUUCUGAAAUGAAGACGUCUAACAGUCAAUUGUCUCUAGUAUAGACGGUUGACAAUAUUAUGCUUUGAUUACUUAGUGUAACCAUUAGGCAUGUAUUAAGUAAUAAUGUUGGAAAAAUGACGGGAAAGAAGUAUCCGAAUAAAGAACUAAAAGAACCAAACUUUAAGCAUGCAAGUUACGUCAGGAGAUUUUUUUUAGAUGUAAGCAAGCAAAGGUAUCCUCUUUUUGCAUUUAGCCGUUUUAAAAGGACCCAAGAGUUCAAGGACAAUUUCGUUUGGGAGUGAAGGAUUUGGAUAGAAAAGAAGGGAAAAGAAGAGAAAGUUCACUUUUCCUUUAUUUGUUAGUUUUUAGGAGAAAAGAAAAGAAGGGAAAUGGAAGGAUUUGAGAGGAUGAAUAGUAGGCAAAAUUUUUCCUCCCAAAUUGGAGAGAAAUGGAGAGAAAGUUGAAAGAAACUUGUGAAAACUUUUUAAAAUACCUAUUUUGUCCUUAAAAAUGUCUUGAACAAAUAUUUAAUGAAUUUCAUAUCCAAAAUCAUUUCACUAAUUUUCAAAACUCCCAAACAACGUGACAAUCCCUUCUCUUCUCUUCUCUUCUCUCGUAACUUAAAGUUUUCCCUUCUUCUCUUUUCUAUCCUAAACCCCCAAACUUAGCCAAAGUUUUGUGCUUUUCACAAAAUGCAUAAGCAGCAGCAAUCAAUGUCUCACAUAUGUUUGAAGUUUCCAGUAGAAACCUCAAAAUCAAAGCUAAAAACUACGUAAAACCAACGUUUCAAUGCUCAAGUCCUCAACGGGCACAGAAAACUCAAGCUGAAACUAACAAACACCAGUAGCAGAAAGUUUCCUUGGCAUAGUGAAACAUAAGUUGGACAUUCAACUUCACUUUUCCCUGAAUUAGAAAUUAAAAAAGCAGUAAUACCCUACCACAUUAAGCAAUCACACAAUAAAACCAACCAAAAGUAUCUGAAUUUUGAUAAAUUUCAGAAGUAAAACUAACUGGUAAAGAGAAGAACAACCAGACAAAGUAUAAAAGCAUAAAAACUUGAAGAGAAUAGUAAGUACUACCUUGAGUUGAUAAUGUUUGAGGUUGUGGGAUUUAGGGUUGUCAACUUCUUGAUGAUGAGGAGUAGAGGAACUGAGUGGAGCAGGAGCAGUGGCAGGAGCAAAAGCAGUGGCGGCAGCAACAGAAACCGAAUGAAUGGCGGCCUUCCACUCGGCAUCUCCAUCUUCCUCUCCGCUACUACUGCUGCUGCUCAUCCCUGCUGUUGUAUGGCUGUAGCCUUACUUCUUCUUCUUCUUCUGCCCCAAUAAAAAGUUCCAAUUGCUGGGCCAAAUGCGGAUGGGUCAUGGGAAAAAGUUUAGAGGGGCACUUGUAAAUUAUAUUAACUUCGAGGGAGCUAAAGGUUUUCCUUUUUUUGCUUUAUGUUUUUAAGGGGACCAAAGCGCGGCGGGAAAGAGCAUCAAAAAUAGAGGCGUUCCUUUGUAGUAGUCCUACUCCUAUACCCUACACGCCCACACACUCACAAAAUCCAUCGGAGAAAAUGGCGUUGUCGUAUCCACAGCCAGGCUCCGUCACCAUCUGCGAAAUCAAUAGAGACCUCAGUUCUGUUCUGUAACAUCUCCGCCCCCCUUCCCCCCAACGCAAAAAAAAAAAAAAAAAAAAAUCCCUUUUCUUUUACAAACUCGCUACUGACUCUCUCAUUUUAUUGAUGAUAUCCCCAUUUUGCUUUAAUUGUAUAAAUUGGAGUGAUGAUUUGUUGAUUCUAAAAUGUAUAAAUUACUGCAGUUACUGCCGACAACCUGUCCGAUGAUCGGGCCGAAGAAACCUAUGCCAAAAUUCUUGUUAGACCCUCCUCCUCCUCCAUUUUAUUUAUAUACACAAAAGUUUUCUGCUUGCUUCAUUUCAAAACCAAGUAAGAGUUUUUUCUGAUGAGUAGAAUACUCCGUGUAUAUAUUGCAGGGGACUGUUUUCAGUCCGGUUCCAUUUCAAUACGAGACUCUAUUGACGGUGGAGGAGCAGGAAGUUGCUGCUGCUGCCCAAACUAAAGGUGGAUUGCUGUCGGCUGCACUGCAGGCCGUCUCCACUGCUUCUCUCCGACCCCUUUUCCUCCUUACUCCUCCUGUGAGUUUUUUUUUAUGAGCUUUGGACUGCUACCAACUUCCGUUCUAAGAUAUCAAGAUUUGGCCCUUGUAUAUCUCCUUAGGUUUUUCUUCCAUUUUGAGGAACUUCCGAAAGGGUUUAUUUCUUCCUUGCUGUCUAUCAUUCCUGUUGACUUGUUCCGGGGAGCUCAACAAAAGCUCAAAAGAGCUCCCAGAUUUUAGAAUUAGCCUUCCGACACUAGGAUCACCCAUGUAAUAAUAUUACACCUGUGCUAUCUUUAUAGUGCGGUAGGAGAGGAUUGGGGUUGCAGCAUGUGUGUUGGGAGAGGGGAUAGGGGAGAAGGGGGCAAGGCAAGCAAAAUGAGUGGUAUAUUAGCUACCUCUCCAACAAUCUGAAAAGCAGAUGAUUCGUAUCUUUUCCCAUUCUUUGAUUCAUUUUAGAACCGGUUUAACUAUACCUACUUCUCAGAUCCACUGCACUUUACAUAAUGACAAUAAUCAGAACGCCUUUUUGGUUAGCUUUCAAUUCUAUUCGCUUCCAUGGUAACACGUCUUAUUCUUAACCACUUUUAUUUCCUUGUCAUUCUUUGUUGGUGUUAUCAUGAAACUUAGAAGCAUUGGUUCAAGCUUUCAGUUUUAGGCUGCUCUGGAUUGGAAUAUAAAUUAUCUCAAGUUUCCACUUUUCUUUUUUGUUUUAAUAUCAGAAACUAAAAAAUGUUACGUUUUAGAUUUUCACUAGAGUAGAAGAGAAGUUGGAAAGAUUCCUCAUUUUUUUCUCACAUUUUCUUUUAGGUAAAAUUGUUGCAAGAUGUUGAUCUCUAUGGCCUGAGCUGGCACCAACACAAAAAUAUUUUGGCUUUUGUUUCUGGCCCAAAUCAUGUGACAAUUCGCGAUUAUGAGGAUUCAGGUUGCUGGCAUAUUAUCUUACUUUAUUUUGUAUUCCAUUUAUCAUCUUUAGAUUUCUAUCCCAUAUCAGAUAGUUUUAGGUUCUGAGUUCAGUUGAAGCCUUGUAAUUUAUUUUUAUUUCUUAAACAUGUAUUUCCCUGUCUCUAUCAGAUGGUAAGGAUCCUUGUGUUCUGAUAAAUGAAUCCCAAAAACAAGUUAAAAGUCUUGAGUGGCGGCCUAAUGGUGGGAGGAUGCUUUCUGUGGCAUGCAAGUAAGCAUCUUGCUUUAUGCCAAUCUCCGCACUUUGAACAGCUCUUUAUUAUCAUGCAAAUGCUACUUAAGUUUCACUGAAAGCUUUAGCUUGGACAAAGUUUUGAUUCUUGGGUGAUCAGGGGUGGGAUUUGCAUUUGGGCUGCUUCAUAUCCUGGUAAUCCAGCUUUGGUUAGAGGUGGAGUUACUUCAAGCACCCUUUCGAGAGGCUCUGGGACUAGAUGGACUCUGGUGGAUUUCCUUCAAAGUCAUGAUGGUGAACAAAUAAGUUCCCUGUCAUGGAGUCCUGAUGGAAGAUAUCCGAAAAAUUUUCUAUUUCCUUUGUUGUGGCUUUUGUCAAUUGAGCAUCAGUUUUUCACUCUAUGAUAACAUAUUGCUGAAUUCGCAGCACCUGAAUGAACUUUUUUAUUUCUUUACUUCGAUGGCUUCCUUUCGCUUUUUAACAUUUUCAUCAUGUCAUCAACAACUUGUUAAGUUCUUCUAGGUAGUAAAUACCAUUUCUCUGGUACAUGGAAACAUCUAACUCUUCACAUUGCAUGAAAAUGGAGCUCUUUGUUAAUCACAUCUUUGAUAAGCCCUCAUUUCAGAAUCUUCCCAUGUGUACCAGGAAACUGGUACAGAUAAAGGCAUUUAGCAUCUGCUGAACCUUUUUGACUAUAUCAUAAAGACUACACUAAGGAAAGUGGUGUUUUCUCUUUUUCUUUGUUGUCUUUAUCAGGCUGUUUACAAUCGAAAUUUUAUCAGUGUAGACCCUAUACCAGCGUCACCUGUGUAACAGCAUAUGCUUGGUGAAUAAACUCUCAAUCGCUUACCAUUUCAACCUUGUCCUUUCAGUAGGAUGCAACCAAUUUAGAAUAUCUUCUUUGGUGUUUUCUGUUGAGGACGUGAACCUUGUUUCAUGAAUCUUUAGACAAUUCCUUUGAGAAGAUGAACUGAGAAUUUCAUAUUUCAUCACGAAUCUUGCUUUACCUCCCCACAAGUAACUGGAGUACUGCUCUCAAUCUUACUCACAAAUUAUAUCGUCUUUAUAACCCUCUCUCUCUCUCUCUGGUUAUUUCUAAAAUACUCAACAGUAUAAAUGCCUUGAGAACAAAUGCCACUAAUCCUACAUAAGAAGGAGAUUAAGGAAGUGACAUUACAAUUGGGGUUCAAUAGACUUUUUAAGAAUUUAAUUAAUCUCUCAUUUGGCACCUGAUACAUUGGACUUGUUAAGAUGAACUAAAAUGCAACUAUAUUUUUCUAGAAGUAUUUGGUUAGUUGAGUUUUGAAUUUUCUUGACUUUCAUUUACAUAUUUGGCAUCAGCUUCAUUUGAGAAUUCAUCAUUCACCAUUUGGGAUGUUGCUCAAGGUAUAGUAAUUUUGCCUCUCCUUGCUUAAUGUCAUAAUUUUGUUUCUGAAGUCCACAAAUGGUAUUAGCUGGUGUUCUUUUCCAUUUUGGGUUGAAAAACAAAGUCAAUAUUGGAUUUAAUCUGCAUGGCAUUUUUGUCCUAUUACCAAAUUCUUCAAGGUUUACUCCAUUAAAUACAUGUCAUGCCUCUUUGAUACUAGGGUGUUUGGUAAAAUUGAAAUUUGAAGUCUGAAAUUUAAGUACUGAAGUCAUAAUCUGCGGAAUUCAUAAAGUUUUAUUUGUUUGAUAACCAGCUGAAUUUCAGCACUGAAUUGAAUGUUGUAUUCCAUGUAUAUUAUAUAUUUGAUAACAAUAUUAUGUUUUAUCUUAAAUUAAAUUGUUGUUUUAAAAAUAAUCUUAUAGUACUAAUAAAUUGUAAUCCAUAUAAAGAAUGUGUGUGUGUGUUAUAGAUGGAGAGUAUGUUUUUAUGUGUAAAAAUGUGUCUGAGAAAGAAAAAUAUGUAUUUUGUGUUUCAUGCAAGAGAUUUAGUUUGAAAAUGUGUAUUAGAGAAGAAAAUGUUGUUUGUGUGUCUGUGAGUGACAGGGGGGGGGGGGCGAUGUGCAUAUGUAUGUUUACAAGUGUGUGCGUGACGGGGACAAAAAUAUUAUGUGUGUAUGUCUGCAAUUGUAUGGGUGUGUGAAAUAAUAAUUUGGAGUAUUUGUACACGAGUAUAAUUCAGCAAAUUAAGUGAGAGAACUUUCACUUAGGAUUUUGUAUACAAACUAGGUGGAUCCUACUGUAUUUAGAAGUCAGGGAUCAAACAACCUUAAUACAAAAAGAACUUAAUUUAUUUAAAUUUUAAGUACUUAAUGGGGUUACCAAACACCCACUUAGCUAUUGCCAUGUUGCAAUCAAGAAAUCUGUUUAGGUUAUAUUAGGCAGAGCUCUUUAAGAUCGCCAGGUAAGCACAUGGAAUUGGAGAAACUUUUCUUUUGCAUUUGUGCAUAUUUAUCUACUGGUGACAUGCAGAAAUAAGGCCUAGAAAACUUGUCUAAUCAGAAUAUAAGAAAUGUUGCUAAUUGCUUCAAUUAUAGAACGUUCAAAUAAAGGGAUCUCAGGGGAUGUGGUGGUGCAUAAUUUCUCCUUUUCUUUAUACUGGAUGGCUUUGAAGUAGGGGUGUGCAAAGUCGAAAAAUUUCGAUUUACCGACCGAUUUCGAAUUGAAUUCGGAAUUUCGAAUUCGGAAUUUCGGUAAUUCGAAAUGAAAUUCGGUAAUUUCGAUUUCGAAUUGGUCGAAAUCGGGUCGAAUUCGAAAAUAUAAUUUUUGAAAUCGGAAUUACCGAAUUCGAAAUCGGAACUAUGAUUUCGAUUUCGAAUAAUAAUAGUUAUAUAUAAUAUAAUAUAAUAUUUUUUAACAAUACAUAAAUAAUAUAUAUUAUAUAACAACAAUUAACAAAAACAAACGUACAAAAGAAAAAAAAAAGAAAAGAAAGAAGGGAAACACCACAUUCACAUUCACACGCACAAAUACACGCAGAGACCCAGGAAUCCUAACCAAAAACAUUCUCUUAAAUUCCAGAGUUAGAUCUAGCGAAUUUAUGUGAAUGUAAGCAGUGACAAAUAGUAGUAUGAGCAGCACUGGACUGGGGGGCAUUUCGCACUACCACCACCGAUUAUGAAUCCCACUGCUGCUGACCCAGCAUCUCCGUCUCCUCCUCCGCCGCAGCCUCCGCGUUCCUCCUUCAGUUGUGACCGCCACCUUCAGGAACAAUUUACUGGUUUCUGCCCCUCCUGCCUCUGCGAGCGCCUCACCACUCUCGACCAAUCCUUCCUCCUCUUCUCGCCGCCCCUCCGCCUCCUCCUCCUCCGCUGCCGCCGCCCUUAAAUCCGUCUACUCCUCCUCUUCCUCCAAGCCCUCCACCUCCUUUCUGCAUUUCAAACUCUGCUAGGAUGUUUGUAUAGGCUAUAAUUGUUAUGUUAUCAGCUUCAUCCUUUAUCCUUUCCUCUUGAAUUUGAAUAAGAGAAACAGCCGACUUGUGGAAUCCAAGGGGACUGCACCUGGGGAAGUCAUUAAAUUGGAACAGGUUUCUUCCGUUUUUGAACAAGGAAAAAAAAAGGAGCAGGUUUGAAUUCGGUGAAUUCGGAAUUCACCGAAUUCCGAAUUCAAUUCGGCAUCAAAUUCGAAAUCGGAAUUUCCCAUUUCGAAAUCGAAUUCGGUCGGGAAAAUUUAUGUCAAAAUUUCGAAAAAUUCCGAUUUCAAACUUCCGAUUUACCGAAUUCGAUUUCGAUGCACAGCCCUACUUUGAAGAAUGAAGUAUGACUAUUUUCUAUUUAAGAAAAUAGGGAAGGAACUUUUUGGUGCUUGUCAGAGUAAUCCUUAUAGGAAAUGGUAUGGUCAAAAUGGUUUACCAAAACAAAGAUCAUAAGCAGUUUAGUUUAAAAUAAUCAUGUAUAAGUAUUUGAAGUUACCCUAAAUGCUAUCAUGACUAAAAUAGAAGGUACAUGGGAUGGUUUACCCUGUGGUGCUGAGGCAGGGAUGAAGCUCCUGUUUAAUCUCCCCCAACUUUCCCAGAUGUCUAUCAUCUGGGCUUUUACUUCUCAAACAGAUUCUGUUUCUAUUAAACAUUGAUGUGGUGAUUUUUCAAGGUGAUAUGUCAGGUUAAUAUACUUGCUGUUUCAUGGUUGGGUUUGAUACUCAUUGUGAAUGGCUUACCUAUUUGGUUCGUGUGUCUUUUACUUGUGUUCUUGUGUCCCACUGUUUGUCUGUUGGGCACUAUGGAGAAAGGAGCUUUCAAUGGAGACCAUAUCUGCAGAACAGUUUAAGUUUCAAUUGCCAGACACCUAUAGUUUUGGAUAAAUGUCCACUACUCAGCUGACAGUUUUUUUUUCCCCUUUGAUAGGGCUCAUUAUUGUGUGAUAAGAAACUACUUGUUUUCUUUGGAUUGUUCUCUCCUGGUGCUUCAUAAUGAAGCUAUUGCUUUCUCAAAAAGAAAAAAGAAAAAAGGAAAAAAUCCUGCUACUCUGUUUUCUGUUAUGUCUCUUAGUUGAUUUUGUAUAAUAUUUUUGUUUAGUGUUAAAAAUAUAUAAUUUGAAAGAUAAAUUGCCCGACCUGUUAGGUAAAGGAUGGAACAUAUGGAGCCAGUACUAGCUACUGUGUCGUACUUGUAACUUAAUACCUGGAGAUUUAUGAAACUCAAGUACUAUGAUUGAACUGAUCUAACAAUUAAAGAUGCAAUUCUGCUGUGCAAAAAAAGAAUUCAACAUGAAACAGAAAGUGUGGGAUGACUGUAUGUAUUAUACCCUGGCAAAAUUUAGACAUUGCAGAAUGGAAUAGUUGUUGUGUCUCCAGAAAUUCUGUAAAAUGUAGGAAACCUGAAUUUGUUUGUCAAUGAAUGGCUACCAAGUGCUAUUGGUUGUAGAGUAACCAAAAAUGUUGUUGAUCGCUUUGGAAGGUAAGAGCAACUGUUGCCUUAGUUGGGAUGGUUUUACAAGUAAUGCACACAUUGCCCCAAAUAAGCAUGCUGUCAAGGUUCCAGUGUAGAGUUGGAUAGACGUCCUAAUAAAGGCAGUCCACAACACAAUCUGGACAGCUGUGUUCUAAUUUGGGAAGUGUUAUUGCUUUCCAGCUGAAUGUUUGAAUGCCUGCCUUCGCAUGGUUGCAUGUUGUAUUUGCUGAUGGAGUUUUGUCUGUUUAUCUGGCUUGUAGGGCUGGGCAGACCUAUUCGACGUGGCUUGGGGGGCAUGUCACUGAUUAAGUGGUCUCCUUCUGGAGAUUACUUUAUCGCUGCAAAAUUGUACUGUCACUUACCACUCUUACAAAAUAUUUUCUCAUGUCAUAAUCUUUAUAAACACAUCCUAACCCUUGAAACAAAAAGCAGAUGAAAUAAAAAGUUGAAAUCUUGCUGGAGAUAUGUUCUCACCCUAAUAGAGCAAUUGCCACUUCUUGCAGUGAUGGAACAUUUCAUAUCUGGGAGACUAACACUUGGACAUCAGAACCAUGGUCCUCAACGAAUGGUUUUGUAACGGUUAGACAAUCAUGCUUCUAAGUACUUAUGUCAACUUUGCCUUCUGCUACAUCCUACUUCAGUGAACUCCUUUUUUUUUUUCUUUUUUUUUGGGGUUGGGGGGUGGGUUAAGAAUAUUUACUAUCGUGGUUUACUAUUUUGACAUCUUUACUGUUUGCCAAGCUCUCUUUCUUCCAUUCCUUUUUGCCCAUCUAAUUCUUUUAUUACUAUUAGAUUAUUUCCUUGUUACAUUACCAUCAGAAGAAAAUAAAAGCAGUUCCACUUUCUCACUUUCUUAUCAUAUGUUACUUUGACUGUAUCUUAAUCAAAAUGUCAUUGUGAUCUCCAGGAUUUGCACUCAUGUAUUUUCUUAAAGCUUAUUAUACUUUUUGCCUUUUGAAUUUCAAUUUUUAAGUGUUCCCGUCUCUAAUGAUUCUAGUUCUGAACUUACUGGGGUUAAAGAGUGGAUAUAAAUAUGUGGUCACCAGAGGCGCAGAUAAAAUGUUUCAAUUGAUGUACGACAUUUAUUGGAAAUUGAUUAUUUUGUGGUGCCCGAUCUAUGAUGGAUUGGGGUUAUUGCUGUUACUUUUUGUCAACUGAUAUAUGUGAUUAUAUAUGGAGUUUGUGUUGCUGAUCUUCUUAUAUUUUAUUCAUCAUCAUUCACUGGAUUCUUUGUUUUCAUUUUGAGGCCAUCAUUUGGACAUGUAAUCUUCAAACUAUUCUGCUUAGUAGUUAUAUUUUGAUUGCCAGGGAGCAACAUGGGAUCCUGAUGGACAAAUGAUACUCAUCGCUUUCUCUGAGUCUACAACAUUAGGGUCUCUUCACUUUGCAUCAAAGCCUCCAUCCCUUGGUAUGUGAUAUUCACCUAGUUCCUGGGUCUGCAUAGUUGUAAUUGUUAGUUUGCUUUCUAAUUUCAUAGGUGUUUUGAUGUUGUUUUGUAUACAGUAAUGUAGGAAAAAAGCAUUUGUCUCAAGGUUCAUUUUCUGCUCUUUAUUUAAUGGUUGGAAGCAUAAUAGUUAUUGUUCAAGAAAAGGAGGACACAGCAGUUGGGAGAUGUCAAUGACUUAAAUUCAUGGUGAUCUCACAAGAUGCAUUAUGAUGCUGAUUUUUUUAAGCUUUAACUGACAUGUCAAGAUGAGUGCAUUACCCCUUUUAGGGCAGGGUGGUCAUAUUUUGCUUAUUUCCUUAGCUUCUUAACAGGCUUGUAACGUCUCCUUUUGCUUCAUAAGAUACCUCUUUGCUGCAGUGUUACUCACCUCAUAAUCGUCUUGUUCUAUGGUACUUUAUGCAUGAGGGAUUUUCUGUCUCUGUUUUGCUGCUGAAAAGUUGUUUUUUGGGAACUUCCAUAGGCAGUGUCUGAACUUAUGGGCACCCUAAUAUCUGUUUGCAGACUUUAACUUUCAACAGUAUUGUUUUCCAGAUGCACACCUUGUACCUGUAGAGUUGCAAGAGAUUCAGUCCUUGACCAGAAGGUUCAGAUGAUAAUGCCUUACUUCAUGAAAUCUUAUAAUUGUUGAAUAAUGCUUAUCUAUUUCUGAUCUUGUUAAUGGAUGUUGAUUUCCUUUAUUUGAGAUGAUUUAUGCUUGUAAUUCCUUUCAUCACUGGGAUAUGGAUUGGCUCUCUUUGACCAUUCUUUGUACAUUUCUCUUUGCUGAUCUAUUCCAAGUUAUAUCUGGUUAAUACUUGGAUUGUUCUCUGUAACUAUGGAUAAUUUUGACAAGAGAGUAUGGUUUGAGGAGUCUGGAGUAUUUUUUAAGGAAUUCCAUUGAAAAGUAGAUAUGAAAUUGUGAACUGGUGAAUGGUUAAUGGUUAAUGGAUUUGAUUUCAAUGUAAUAUACCCAUCAUGAUCUUACUUGGGACGGAAGGAACACAGUCCAAUAAAGUUUACUGUUACAGGAAUAAGGCAUAGGGACACUUUUAUUUGAGUAGCUGACUGAUCCAAAAAACGAAUUCUCUGUAUUAAUAUCUUUAAUAUGCUGAAAGAUUCUUAAGAUGCAUUCAUGUCCUAUGGAGGUAAUAAGUUGCAUCAUGGAAUUCCAUUUUAUUUCCUAGGUUACAUUAGUGGUGCUAUUUCCCCUGCCCGGUAACUGGGACUACCAAUAUUUGUCUACAUCUUGAAAGAGGGAUAGUUGAUCAAACUCAUUGCAGUUUGGCAUGUUGAGGUGACUGGUUAAUCAGUUAAUGAAAGACAUUUCUUGAAUCCUGUGAACCUGGUGAAACUUUCUUCUGUGUUUCUCCAUUUUGCUUAGAUAUUCUGGAUCAUAUGUCAGCCUUAUGCCACCAGGACGAGUCAAGGUCAGUGGUUUGAUACUAUUGCAGUAACUUCAUUUGGUCAUAGGCUGCCCUGGGGUAGUGCCGUGGAAGAUGCUUCCCUCCAGGUCAGCUGAUAUGGCUUGUGAUUUCAUCCUUUAGAUGAUAGUGCUGGGUGAGCUCCUCAAAUCAACACGUGAGACCACCCUUUAUAUGUGGCACUCUCAAAUUUAGCGGGAGGCUUGUCCAAUUUUGAAGGCUAUGGCCUGGGAGUAUUAGUUGGAACUGAAUGCAAUUUAGCUCAUCUGACAUCUUUAGGCACGUCACCUUCCACGCCCAAGUGGCCUGAGAUGCAAGUAUGACAUAGGCAGGCAUUAUUUAGGUUAUGUAGGUUCAAGUCAAGGUCUGCAACUUGCUAAUCAUAUGAACAGAGAUCAUGGAUCCACUCUUAAUCUCUUCAGAGCCCUGCUGCUGCCAUCAAGGCCUCUUAACUGCUUUGUCUUCUCCCUCAAUUGCCUCUCACCAUCCUCUCUCUCUCUCUCCUAUAGCACAUUGAUUAUUGAACUCCUAAGAAAUGUAAUGAUACUUGUUUUUCUUUUUGUGUAAAAUUUCAUGCAUGGGGGCAUUUGUUGUUAGAAUCGGUCCU